rnacentral:lncRNA from 1 species
CCCCCUAAACAGUCCCCAUUUUUAUUAUUGCAUCAAUGAGGUUUAGAAAAUUUAUUACAGCACGAUGAAUUAAAAAAGAACUAAACUAGUAAGGAAAUGAGUAGCCCAUUUUUCCACCAAAUCCCAAAACUAUCUAUUUAUACUUGUUAGAUACAAUGAAAUAGCAAAACAAGCACAAAAAGAAAAUGACGUAACAAAGAUAUAGCACACAAAAACACCGAAUAAUUUCUAUAGGCAUGUUUUCUAGCAUCAUCGUAUUAAAAUUGCAUGGAUAGGAACUUAUCAGUUGAUGAUAAAUAACAAUAAUAAGAAAAUCAAGUAGCACAAAGUCUAAGCACGAAUUACCACAAAAAAUAAGAUCGAUUCUCCCAAAGUGAGUAUGAAUCAAAAACAAUAAAGUACAAAUUUUUUGUUUGAGAGCAAUGCUUAAAGCUUUUCGUAUGGAGAAUAUAGAGUGUAAGUUGUCCUAAUAGGAAAAAAGGAUUGCCCCUUUUAUAGUAAAAGACUUGUGAGAAGUCUAAAAAAUAAAAGGAAGAAAGAAUAUUUAGUCAAUCAAUUUAAGAAUUAUUUUUCGUAAAUUCAUGCGCUGUAUCACAAAUUAUGUUAAGACUAUCCAAAAUUAGCCUAACACACAAAGUUGUUCAAUUUUAGAAAAGGCAAGAAAAUAAAUCAAGGGAAUAGAAUGAUAAGGAAAAAAUAUUCCGAGCCACAGACUAAAUAUGGAUCAAAAAUUUAUCAUGUAAUUAAAAUACAACAGCAAUCAUAUAUAUUUUUUUCAUAAAGAAAAAUUUGCUCAAUCAAUUAUUCCAAAUUUACCAUAAAUAAAUGAGCAAUUAAACGAAGAAAUCAGUCCACAUUUAAAUAGGUAGAAAAAUCAACAAAAGACGCAACAAAUUAUCCCUAAAUAUAAUUAAUUCAUAAGAAAAUCUCUACUUACCCAAAAUCUUUUCAAAACCCAGCAACUUGUCCAAACCCAUACCAAGAUAAUUCACACGCAUAUAGGAAAAAAUGGUCAUAAUUCGAGUUCAGGAAGAUAAAUAAUAUACAAAUCAGAUUUACUAAAUUCCUAACUAGUUUUUGAGAAAAUAUUGUAAUUAAAAGCAUAAUAAUCAGUCUACAAAAAUUUGGGGUUUUCACAUACGUCAGUCUACAUGCAUAAACAAAUAUGCAAUUGCAGUAAACAUAGAAAAAUUCAAAGUAGAGCAUCACAAAUUAUAAAUAUAAGAAUCUGAUUUUGAGCAAUUUGAAAAUAAGACAAACAAGGCAUAUAAUUUAAGAUAUAAAAAAAUUAAACCCGGUGAUAAUCAUAAUUUUCUGGAGAAAUUUGGGUCAACGGUGCAGCAGAGAGGCGCUUCAUGGUUGUUUUGGUAGCUGGUUUAUUGUUUUUAUUGGUUGGAGCCAUCGAAAUACCAAAAAAAUAGAUAGAGAGAGGCCAGCGGCGGCUGUUGGCAGUUGAUAUGGUUGGUAGCGUCAAAUGAAGUGGGUUCCGUUGUCUGGAGCGGGAGCUGGAUGAUAUUGUUGUGCUUUCACCGAUGCUUCACUGCCAGAGAAGGGAAUGGAGAAAGGAGGUGGUGCCUGGUGGAGGCUUGCUAAUAUGAUUAGUGGCUAGUUGGGGGAGAUGCAGCGACACUGGCAGCUCCGUCGAAUGUUGUGGUCGUUGGCUGUUGUUGUUUCGAUGGUGUCUGGUAGGAGCGGAGAGAAAAGAGUGGCUCCGAAGUUAUUGUUGUCCACAGAUGACGGUCAGUCACUUGGGGAGGGAGGGAGAGAGAGAGAAAAGAUGUGAGAGAAAAAGAAACAUGGUGUUGCUGCUGAAAAUUAAAAAUGGGGAGUUAGGGCUUGGGUUAUUAUUUAAAAGAAAAGAAUCGGUGAUGUGAUCGUUGGAUCAAUUUUGAUCCACGGUUGAUAUUAAAAAGAUCAUCAAAAAUUGCACCCUAAUUUGGUAUUAAAAAUUGGUGUCAAUUUGACCAAAAAUGACAUCAAUUGAAUAUAGAAAUAGCUAAAAAUUAAAUACCAAGAGAAAAAUUGAAUGGAAUUGACUGCUAUUUAAAAAAUAAUAAUAAAGAAAAUUAUGAAUAAAUCACGUAAAAAUUAAUGGCACUUAACAUACUAUUUUAAAAAUCGGUGACAAUAACAAACUAAACGUUAUAAAUUACCAAUAGGACUUUUAAGAAACCUUAUAAUAACAAUAAUGAUAAUAAUAUACGACUUUUAAGAAACGUUACAACAACAACAACAACAACAACAACAACAACAACAAUAAUAAUAAUAAUAAUAAUAAUAAUAAUAAUGAAAAUAAUAAUAAGACCAAAUGUUUGUAACUUACGAAUGUGGACGUUAAAUAAAAUAUUAAUGAAUUACGUAAAAUAUUAUGUUUAAGUUAAUAAAUUGUACAAAGUAAUAAAAUAAUUUGUAUAUUGUCAAAUUGUGAAUGUGACACGUCAAAAUUUUACUUAAUACUGAAAUAAUGCAUAACAAAUAUUAGUAUUUAAGAUUAAUGAAUUUUGGUAAAAUAGAAGCCUAAGAGGGGUAUCGGGAGGUCAAAAUUGAAUGUCAACAUCUAUCCUUUCAGCCUAGCUAUAUCCUUCAUUUGAGGACUAAUGAUCCUAGGAGGGGAUAUUGUAACACCCCAAAUAUCUAAGCUAAGAUCCAAACCAUUUGUAGAAUGUGUAUAGAAUCGAAUUGGAUGAUUUAUUAUUUUUCAUAAGUGUUAAGAUAAAUUCCUUCGUGUGUGAAGCGCUUUGGAUAUGAAUUAAGGUCAUAAGGAACCUCAAACUUAAAGUUAAGUUAAAAGCUAUCAUACAGGUUGAGUUUUUGUAUGAGAUUUCACUAAGGUAAAAAUAAAAUGAGAAUUUCUCCUAAAAUAUAAAGAGUUUUGUAUCUCAAGACCAACCAAAUUAAAGGCUUUUGAGUCAUCCCAAAUUCAUUUUUAAUCCCCAAAGUCAUCCCAAAACAAUGACAAUCGUCUCAAAACCCUUACCCCUCUUCUCUCCCAAAUUUCAAGAACUCGAGAAAAGGAUUUUUCAAAUCUCAAGGCUCUAAAGCUCCCAAGUUUAAGAAUCCCUCUAGGAAUCAAGAUUUUCACCAAGAAAUUUUCUACUCUAAGGUGCGUGGGGAUUCAACGAAAAAUUCUUUUAUUCUUGUGUCCAAACUCAACGUUUUAAAUUCCAUAAAAGUGUACUUUUGUGUCAAGGUUUAACCCCAAAUAUUUUAAUUCAAAUUCUCAUGUUCCCUUUAUGUAUUGUCCUACGUACGUGAUAAUAUUCAUGAACUCACAUGGUUUAAUUCCAUUCUUAUUCACAUGUUUUCCAAUCCUUGUUUAAGAUUUAGUGGAAUGUUCAUGAAAUCUCUAUAAAUUCGUAUUGAACCUUUGGAAUUUACAAGAAUUACACUCCCUUAGUAUGAUUUCAAGAUUUCAAGCAUAAAUUGAAAACACUUUGUUUUCUUGACAUGAUUUAGCCCAAAUUUUAAGCAAAUGCAUGGCAUGAAUAAGAAUUUUCAAAGAUUUUUAUGUUCUUAAUAUGAUUUAGCAUGAACAAGCAUGAAUUUCAAGUAUGUAGAUGAUAUAAGCCUAAUUUACAUAAAAUUUUCAUAUUCAUAUAUAAGUUACGAGACUUGGGUGUUUUACCACCAAAUUUUCAUGAAUUACACAAGAUGAUACAAAUUUCAAGACUUGGCAUAAAACCUCAUAAGUUAGUAUGAUUUGACCUUUUGGUCACAACACAGAAAAGAACAAAAUAAUUAAGACUAGUUUUUCGUUUACUCGAGGCUAUAAGCCAAAAUAGAAUCUUACUUCUAGGAACUAGUCUUAUUAGCACUUUUCGAGUGAGCAAUUAGUGAAAGUUUUUUAGAGUAGUAUUGAGCAUUGAGUAAACACAAAUUCAGAGUACCCAAUUUUUAAAAAUAUUUGCCAUCAUAGCUUCACUUAGACUUUUUGCUUUAUGUUUAUGGAUCCAUAGAAUUCAUGUCUUUAUAUCCUUGGAAAAGGUACAUUGGGUCUGCCCAAUGGGGCGUAUAAAUUGGAUUUCACUCAAUCAUGCCUUUAUAUCCUGACAAGGUAUAUUGUCUCCUUUCGAUGAGGAAUAUACAUCAAACUCCACGUUAGCUCACGUGAUUCACAUGGGUUAAGAGAAUCUCACACAGAAAGACAAGAUUUUAACUGAGUAUAUAAUGGCUCACUGAACUAUAACUUUUGUUAUUCUUUCUAGUUUACUUCAUUUUUAACGUGAGUCAUUGUACUAUUUAGCAUGUUCAAAUCUUAUGCCUAACUGCUAAACUAUUUUAAUUGGAUCACUACACAAGUAUUCAUAUUUCUUUAUCAUGUCAACUCUUGCUAUGUUUCAAUCAUUCACAUACAAAUUGUGAACCAUUUGUACUUCUCAACAUCUUUCCGACUCUAAGCAUGAUUUGUUACUUCUAUUUUACUUAUGUAUCGUAUGUGUAGUGCCCCAUGAUUAGUAAAUUCUAACAUACUAACUACAUAUAUGUUUGUGUGGCUAUAUUAUUUCAUGAUAUAGGUAAUAGUUCUAGCUUAAAAAAUCAUAAUUAAGCAGAUCGCAGCUUCCACCCAGCAAGUGAUGAGUUCUCUUCAUUUGAGGGAUCAAGUCAGUUGUAGUUCUAGUAUAUUAUUUUGAUUUGUAUGUAUUGAUUGGAUAUGGUUGGGGGUACAUCCCGGCUGCCUACAGUCAGUAUUAGUAGAGGUUUCAUAGAUGAUCAGUCAGAGUUCAUAUAUUUAGUUUCCAUUACCUUUUUAUAUAAUGUAACACCCUAAAAAUCUAAGACAAUAUUAGAACCAUUAUUCAAGUAUAUGAUAAAUCAAAAACCAUGUUUUGGUAGUUUUAUUAGUGAUUUAAAUACAUAUUAAGGUCAAAAAUAGCUCCUAGCUUAUAGAUAAAUCAAAACAUCUCGUAGCGAUCAAAUUCUUAUGAAGAAUAUUACUAUAGUCAGCUUCAAACGAGCAUGAAUUUUGAAUUACUAAGAAUUUUUUAUCUCAAGACCCACCAUCAGAUAGAUAAUUGAAUUAGUUUUCCAGCUCUAUAAAUUUUGCGUUAAUUCGAUAUCGGAGUAAAAUGUUAUGGACAAAUUACUGAAGCACUGUCAAAACUUCCAAUGAUAACGACUCAUUAUCACACAUAAUGGGUUGUCAGAGGGUGUUAUUUCCAUGGAUAUAGGGGCCGUAAUUGGGUCCUUUGACCAUAACUCAUGGCCUGACCUAACGAGUCAUCGCAAGAGUCGUCAAAACUACUUUCCGGAGUUUUCCAGAUGGGUUUUAAGGGAUUUUUUUGGUCUUUUUUCACUCUUUUAACCCCAAAACUAUGUCGUUUAAGCUAUUAUAAGGCUGAAUAUAAAGACUAAAUAACUCCAAAUCCCUCAUUCUCAACACAACACACAAAAUACUCAAGAAACAUGUGAUUUUCUACUCCUUCAAAGCAAGAAAUUAGGGUUCUUCAUCUCCAAGUUCAAAUCCUUAAAACUUUAAUUCAAGAAUCAAAAGUAAUCACGUAUGUGUAAUUCAAUGAGGAUCUCCUUUCAUCCUCAUGCCCAAAUUAUAAUUUUUAUUCAUGAAUUUUAUGAUCUUCAUAAACUAGGGUUUUAUAUAAUUGUUACUCUAAGCUUAAAUUCAAUUCCCUGUGACAUAUUUGUUACUCAUAAGCAUGUUUUAAUGAUUAUUUAUGGUUUCUUAGGCCCAUAUCAUAUCAUUCACAUUAUUCUCAAAUCCAUGUAUCUUUUACAUGAUAUUAGUUAAUAUUUCAAUAAUAUCAUUAAGCUAUUUGAGAUUCAUCAGUUUCAGGACUAUUAAGCACUAUUUAUCAUUAUUUUGCGAAUUUAAAUCUAUGUUGGUUGACAUACCAUAUUUUCCCAUGAAACUUAGUAUUUUAAUAGAUUUCGAAUUAUGAACCCUCGAUAUGUUGAUAAAUUCAUAUUUUGGAUUCGUGCUAUGAAAUUUUCCUUAUUCCUUGUUAUGAUCAACUUUUAAUAUUAGCAUGUUCAGUUGCAUUAGUCAGAGUUGGUCGGUUAUGAACAACCGACACCUAGGAAUUCAUGCAUAUAUUAGUAUACAUGUUAUUGAGCACUUUAGAUUAUCCAUUAUUUAUAUUUCAAUAAUAUAAUCAUAAUAGAUAGUACAAUUUUCAGUGUCAUUCAGUUGGGAAUAGUACUUAGGAACGAGUAACUAUAGGGAUGAAGGCUAACCCGUUAUUUGAGGCUUGAUAUCUUUAGUAAAAGUCCCUAAGUUCCAGAACUAUAGCUCUACCAUAGGUUAUAAGGGGUCACCCAUCAAUUGAGGCAUGACACCCUAGUCCUUUGAGGCAUCAGUUUAGUGGAUCCAUGCCAGCCAGUGUUGGUAUCCUUGUCAAGGUACCAACAUCCUUCCAACUGGGUUAUAUGUUGGACCCUAAUUUUCUCUGAUUGGGGUAUGACUGUUAUUGUUAUCUCCGACAAACCUUAAUUUAUGUUUUAGCUUCAGAUUAUGCAUGACCUUGUAUUCAAUUAUUCAGUUUCAUUCAAUACAUGUUUAUACUUGGUCAUUGCAUCAAUUCACAUCUUAUAGCUUUAGAUCAGGUAUUUAUACAUGGCCCUCAGUAUAGUCUUACAACAUAUUCAGCUUUAAAUUGAGAUUAAAUAUAGUAGUCAUACUUCUACCACUUCCCAAUUUACAAAAAUGUUUUAGCUCAUUAUUUACAAAUUUCACCAUGCCUUAAAGAUUUCACAUACAAGUAUAUUUUAAAUGCAUAUUUCAUCAAAUGGCUUAUGUCCUCAGUUUUAAAGCAGUUUUCAAGUAUUUUCAUGACUAGUGCAUAUCUUACAUACUCAGUACAUUCCAAAGAACUGAUUGCAUACUUCUUCUGCCUAUAUUUUUCAUGUGAUGUAGAUUCAGGUGCUUACUCUCUCGAUCAUAAUCAGGUAGUUCAUAGCAUUCAGAUAGCAGGUGAUGAGCUCUCUUAUUUUAAAGACUUAAGUUAGUUGCAAUUCUUAUACUUUAAAUUCAUAUUCAUAUGUACUGAUUUAGGAGAGUUCUGGUCAUAUCCCGACUACCUAUAGUUAGUGUUAGUAGUAGCUUCACAGAUAGUCAGUUAAAGUUAAUGGAAUCAGUUUUUCUUUUUCUUUUUAGAAUAUAGAUAUUGUAAAUAAACUUUCCAAUAGUAAUAUAUAGAAACAACUUUUCUCAUGAUUAUGUUUCUGUCCAGUUAAUUUAGCUUUUAUAUAUGUUUUAAUCAGUUGCUCAAGCAUUAUGCUAGUAUCAUGAGUUACCUUGGGAUCACUUGUGGUUCUAAGCACUAUGUUAAGACUAGGGGGUAGUCUUGGGUCAUGACAAACUUGGUAUCAGAGCACAAGACUAUGUUUCCUAGGAUGUCUAUGAAGUCGUGUCUAGUAGAGUCUUGAAGAAUGAUAUGGAGAUAUUUGUACUUUUCUUUGAGAAGCAACAAGGCUUUUAAGAAAUGUUUCCCUUCAUCCAUAUCUUAGAUCGUGCAGUAGAUAUAUUCUCUAAGAAACUUAUACAAAUUCAUACAUUACUCCAUUCUUGCAAACUCUAUCUUAUUCUUAAAUUAAUAAAAACUAUUGAGCUUAAAUUCCUACUGAUAAUUUUUUCUCAGACAAUCUCAGAGAGUGUUAUGAGAUUACACGUAGGCUUGAAAGGAUCCCAUUAGUGCCUUCAAGUUCUAAACAUUGAAAGAGUUUGUUCUUAUUUAUUAAAAUUAUAUUUAGCCAAAGUCAGAUGUGCUCUCAUGUCCCUUCUCAAAAUCCAAUGACAACAUGGCCUAGAGUUGGGAGCAUAAGCCUAGAAGUGUAGCAGCAAUAUAGUAGUGAUAGUGUUUAUCCAAAUUUAGUAGAUUGUGUAUCCAUGGAGCCAGAAAAGUAUGGUGUAGAUUGUCUAAUAGCACUUUGAGUGAGAUAUAAUAGUUAAAGAGAACUUAGAGUAUGUUAAUGCUAUAGUCAAGAUAGAGAUUAGGCAGCGACCAGAAAGAUAAAAAAGCUUGUUAAGGUUGAAUAUGUUCGUAAAAUUUUAUGUGGAUUAGUGUUUCAUGAUUCCUAUCUAGUAGUAGUAAGUGGGUAUUAGUUCAUAAGAAGUUGCACGGUUAUCCAUAUAAAGUGUUAAAAUCUAAUAUUUAAUUGUUGAUAAUCAAACUAGUAGAAAGAAGAGUUUGAAAUUUUAGAAGAAAAAAGUGUGAACUGAGGGUAUUGUGAUACUCCUAAAGAUUCUAAGUUAGUAAGUGUUUAAGUUAUAAUAUGAUGACUAUUGGGGCUAUAGAAUGUUAAGAGUUGUAUCUUAGAAGGAAGAACUAGCAACGAGUUUUACACUUUAAGAUAUAGUCUUUCAAGGGGAGGUGAUUAUUUACAUGUAUUGUUAUAUAUCAAACUUUAGAGUAAAGUGAUUCUAGUUUAGUUUAGAGUUUAUUGUAGAGGUCCAUGGACUUAAAAUGAUGGCUUAACUCUAAGGGGGAGUUGAUAGAACAAAGAAUCAAGUCAAGUUAUUAGAUUCUAGUAGUGAUGCCAGUGAGUUUUAGAACAAUACUAGGGGAGGAAGAUGCUUGACCCAUUCUUAUCUUUGUACAAAUUCCGUACUUUGAUCACUACGACACUCUAUUCAUUCCUUAAAAGUCAGCUCUAUGAUCAUAACUCAUAUCCAUGCAUAUUAUGUAGAAUUAUGUUCACUCCUAUUUCCUAGUAUAAGGAGUGACAGUUCACUCAAAAGUACGACUCAUAUACUAUUAAUUUAUGAAUUCCAUUCUAAGACAAACAACUUGGGUACUUAUGUUUUACAGUAUGUUCAGUUCCAGGUACUCAUGAUAUAUCCUGAGUAACUAGUUAUAUCAUAUUACUUGUGUAUGCUCUCAGAUCAUAUCUCUUGAAUAAGUUUAUUCCAAUUAUAUUUUACUUCUCAGGCCUCAAUCAUGUAUCAAAUUCAUGAAAACCCCUAAGUCAAGAUUUCAUAGUGCCCUUCAUAUACAAAACCCUCAUGUUCUAGUUUUUUUGUGACCCUUCUUAUGCUUUGAUGGUGAUGUUGUUGGCAGUUGAGUGAUAGGCGUGAAUGUUGUUAAAAUACCUUUAGAUGAUGGCUUAUAGUGGUUGGUGUCUCUUUGAUUAGUGUUGAAGGUUUAUUAUUUAUGGUGGUGAUCUUGGGUGUAUUUAUACGCCUAAGCACCAUAAUUUAUCCAUAUUUUAGAUAAGUUUAGAGAACAAAGUGCCUAGUUUCUUAUGUUUUUACUCUACUUCCAUGUAAUUAAGCUAACCGAUGUGAUUAGCAUAAUUUCAAUUAUUAAUGAGGUAGAUGAAGAAAUAAUGGAACUAUGGAAUACGGAUGGCAUAUGACACAAGAGAGAGUAGCAAUCUGGACCAAAUAUGGCGCCUAGAAACUAUGUCCAAGACUAAUUUGUCAUUUAUAAUUAGUUCAGGGACUUAGAAGGAAAUUAUGAGAGAAGAGAUUAUUAAAAGACUUAAUUGCUGAAUUUUUAUUCAUUAUUCAUUAUUCUGUAUUAUUCUGAGAGAGGAGAAAGGUGGCUUAUCUUGAGGAGAGAGAGAGAAACGUUUUUCUCUCUUGUUUUCACUAUUUGUAAACCAAGACCAUCUUCUAGUUUUUGGUAUGAUGAAUAGAUUUAUGAUGCUUUUCAUUUUAUUCAUGAGUAGCUAAGUUUAUUAGUUAAGGGUUAUGGAAGCCUUGUAGCAUACAAUCUAUCACUUUGGAUUUUUGAAUUCAUUAUGCAUUGAUUUGUUUACAUCAUACUCUCUUCGCUUAUCUUGAAUUCUCAUAGUUUCAAACAUAAAGGAUAUGCCUUAAAACGCAACUUGUUCGAAAGAAAGGUUAAUGUUCAGAAAAGAGAGUAGUGACAAGAAAAUAAGAGUACCAACCCCCUUUUUAUAAGUUAAUGCCUUAGCAGGAUUAACUACUUGGAGGUUUCGUAUUAUUUUUUGUGAAUGGAGGUUUCGUAUUAUUUUUUGUGAACGCUUUUGAUUCAAGAGAGCUAAAGUGAAUUAGUCCUUAAUGGUUGAGAAACACUAGGAUUAUGUUAUUAAAUACAUUACGUUUCUCUGUAAGCAUGAUGCAUGUAUGAAUUCGUAAAGCCCAUACUUAGUAUGUAUUGAAAACUACAAGGUGGACAUAACCCUAGCUUGAUAUUUCUCUGAAUUUGAAUACUACUACACAUAUUUCAUCUUGUUAAACUGAAACCAUUAAUUUGUGAACUGAAUCAAAUCCCCCCUAUUUAUUUUAUGAAAACGAACGAUUAAAAGUCAACUAAUUUGCAUACAACUUAAUUAACACCAUAUUCCUUGUGGAUUCGACCCCAAACUAGUUAGGUUAUAUAUUUGACAAUGACCGCUUACUCUCUCAUAAGAGAGGUGUAAUUUGGACGUAUCAGGUGGUAAGAAGAAGUGUAUUUUUUAGGGUGAUAGCUCCAAGUGAAUUCAAAAUGAAGUAUUUUCAUGGUUAAGACCAGUGUAGUCUUUUAAGUGGUAGAGCCUUGUAUUCUUGAGUUUAGAUUGGAUAGAUUGAUAGUAUUCAAUAAGGCUAGAGAUAGCUUUUAGCAGUCAUAGGCAGUGUAUCCAUACAAAAGUUAGAAGUUUUAUCUAGUUAAGGGUAUUAGGUUCAUAAAAAAGAGCAUUGUCGAAGGAUGUUGCUAUGUUGUAGAAUUAUCAGUCACAUCACUUAAGCUAUACUAUUCCUAACCUUAAUUUCAACCUAAGAUACUCCAGUUCCAUGAUAUAUAACUUCGGACUAGAGUUAUCUCAUAUUCAGCUCUUAGUCAUUCCUAUUCUACGUGCUCAAACUAGUAGACUUGGAUUCUCAAACCAUGUUAUAAUCCAUAUUUAGAUAUCUUACUCAAAUUAUGUCUAAAAUUCUUACCUCCCUAAUACUAUUAGAACCUCUAUCAAGAAGCUUCAAAGGAAUUCUUCAGCUGAGUUAUAAACUUUCAAUAUGAGUUAGUCCGUAUAGCCAGCAAUUUAGUUUAGCAAUCAGACAAAUUAACACCUAUAGUUUCCUAUCUUUUAAUCUAGUCUUACUAUCUGAAGUUUUAUGAAUAUGUCUAUUCCAUAAGGUAAUUUAUUUACAUUAUCACAACCCGAGACCACCCCUUAGUUGUAACAUGGUGCCUAAGUUCAGGAGUGACCCCAAGAUAAUCCAUGACAUGGCAUGCACAAUAAUAGUGAAUAAGAUAAUAAAACAUUCGGUAGAAGCUAACUAAAAUAAAUGGAAGGAGUAAUAAUAUAAAAUUGAAUGUCAAUCAAAAUAGGAAAUAGAACUAUCUGUGUAACACCCCAAUUUUCUAGAAUCGGAACUUCACAUGGUGCUCAUGACCCCGAGGGACCACAAGCUAAUCCUGUACUGAUAUUUGUACCUGAAUAGUACAUAAUAUAGGUAAUAAAUGCGGACAACUGGUGGAAAAUUGCCAUAAGGUUCAAAACAUCAAAAAUAAUCAAUGCCAAAAAACUGAAUACUAAUACAUCUGUCCAAAAAACCUCUACUAUCUGAACUGUGGAGGUGAUGGGAUAUGUCCCAAUCUAACUCCGUCUACUAAAAAUAAACUGAGUCUAAUGCCAUAAUAAAAUAAGGAUCAUUCUCGAAUGAAGAGGACUCACUGCUACGUCUACUGCCACUGACUGAGUCUGGACUACUAAGGGUGCUCUGGAUCUCGCAUUUCUAAACCUAUGGUAUAAGACACCAUAGCACAAGAGAAAAAUAUGUGUCAGUACUUUGAAUGUAAUGGUAUACUAGAUGAGGUAGGGCUAAAUACAAGGGCUUAUGCAUGAAUAUAGCUUAACUGAAUAACAUAAGAGUACUCAAUGAGGACAUAUGCAUGAAUGCACGAACCAUAACUGAAUCAUCAUGACUCUGAAUACUAAUACUCAGACACUGCUUUACUAACAUCUGAACUAACUAUUAAUAUUGAGAUACUAAAUAACUGAAUCUUUUGAUAUUGAUAACUGAGUACUAAAGUUGAGAUCUGUCCUCUCUAGCAGUUGACCUCUAAAACUGAUGAUAUUAGAGCUAAUUAACUGAAUCUGCUCAUAUCAAUGACUGAGUUCUGAGUUUGCUAUAUCGACUGACUAAAUCUAUGAUCAAACCUUUCUAAUGGAUGAUAUCUGAAUCUACUAAUAAUGAUAAAGAAUGAUUGUAUCUGAGAUUAGGCCUAUCUAGUAGAAGAUCUCUGAAUCUUUUAAUAAUAGAAAUGACGAACUGAGUCUGAGAUUAGGCUUAUCUAACGGGUGAUCUCUGGCUCUAUUAGUAUUGAUACUGAUUAAAUUUAUGUGAGACCAGGCCUAUCUAGUAGGUGGUCCAUGAAUCUAUGAAACUAUCUAAGUUCCUUACUAAGAUGGGUGACUAUAUCUGAUAGUCCUGAUUUCUGAGUUCUACUCUAAAGACUAAUACUGAAACUGCAACUGUGGGAGUUCUCACUUAAUCGACGUGACCCAAAUCUAAUCUAGUGGGGUCCAACCUAUAACCCCUGCUGGAAGAAUGUCAAAACAGUGCCAUGGGUAAAGACCUCUGCUAUGGUCAAGCCUCUCUAACAGGUGACCCUGAAUAGGAAGUCAAGCCUAAGGCAAUAUUCAAGCCUUAAUAUAAUGGGUGGCUCCUAGUCCUGUGAUGGCUACACAGUUCUAGAGUUUAGGGACUAUUACUAAUGGCUCUGCCUCUCUAAUGGGGAAGUUGUCAUCUCUGCACUUUCUCGGUGCUAGUUCCUACUCCCAACUGAAAGACACUAAACUGAUUCCUGGACUGUACUAGGCUGAGCUGAAUCUAUUACUAAUUAUCUUACUUGACUGAUCUGACUGAGUUUACUUGAUUAUGUUAUUUGAUAGAAUACUUCUAAAUCUCAUUGUCUGACUAGAUGAUACUAAGUUCUGAAUUGAUUACUUGAAUUCUACUAAGGUCUGAAACUGAAUUCUUGAAUACUACUAAGAUCUGAGCUGAGUAUUGAACUGAAGUUGGAAUGCUAAUGAUACUUGUAUUACUGAGAUUUCUUAUGUUCUAUAACUGUAUGAGAGUACUGAAUUCUGUAACUGACCGAGUUCUAAGAAUCAUGACUUGACUGAGAUUAUCGUGAAAACUGACACGAGCUCUAGAGUUGCGGCUAAAUUGUCAGGUAUAAUUACCCCCAGGACUUGAUAACAUAAAAGUAAAACAUAACCAUCUUAAAUAAUCAUGACCAUGUAUUUUCAUUCACCAUUACAAUCAUUAAAGCAUCUCUUCAAGCACUUGAAAAUCAUAAACAUGUAAUAGUAUAGGAAGACAUGCUACUGGCACAUACUCCGGAACUAAAAUAUACCCUACAAUUAAAAAAAGUACCAAUGUAUGUCAUAUAAAAAAAAGCACCAAAAUAGGCUUUGUGCACUUAAUAAGUGCAUGAUGCCUUUACAGUUUAACGGCAAGUCUCUAAACGGUGUUAGUUUUGGUCAAACUUAGAUUGUGCACUUAUUAAGUGCACAAUCCAUUUUUUUAUGGAUUGUGCAUUUAUUAAGUGCACCAUUCAUUUUUUUAUGGAUUGUGCACAAUCCAUUUUUUUAUGAAUUGUGCACUUAUUUAGUGCACAAUUCAUUUUAAAAUAGAUAUACAUUGUGCACUAAAUACGUUAGAUAUAAAUUGUGUCAAAACUGGUUCAACCAUGAAACUUAGCCCAAAAAUUAUUUCCUUGAAAUUCUUGUAAGACUAUAAAACUAAAACUAUAAACAAACCAUCAUCUAAAGGUCCGCUCUCAUGAUUGAAAAUUGAAAUCUUACUUUUUGAAGGGAUUGAAAUUUGAAAAUGAAAUUAAAUAUUCACUAACCAUCUUUUCGUCAUUGGAAUUUUUUCACUUCAGAAGAUAUCUGUCAUAUAGAGUUAUAUACUAUGCUAUUUAAUAGUAGGAGUACUGUUUAAUUAUGUUUAUCAUUGCAUUUUAUUGCAACCGUCUAAAAUAAAUGCUUGUUUUACUCUUGGUUGUCAAUUGUCGUCAAGUUAAGUGUAAGUAUUUUGAAUUUCAAUUAUUAAGACUAGAUUGAUGGAGUAUUGUUUUCUAUGAUAAUUGAUCAUUUUAGUUGUGAAUUGUGAUAUUGAAAUUUAGAGAAUACAAUUUUUAAAUCUAUCCACAAAAGUCAUUUGAGUUAGAUAAAAAAGGAGCCAACUCGAAAGGAUGUCUCUUUUAAUAAAGUUAAGCAGAUUACUAUGUAUAAUUAGACCCUAAAACACAUGAAACACAACUCACUAAUAUUAUUGGAUUAAAAUACCACCAGCAUGAUAUCUUUAUUAACACUACAAAAUUAAAUUAAUUAUAGUAUAAAGUUUGACACAUGUUGUUUAAGUUUAUACUUUACACCAUCGAACAAUCGUUUAAGAAGGGAGUAAACAGUGGCGGAUGUAGCACUAUGAAUGCGGGAUCCCGGGAACCCCCAAGCAUUUUCGUAUACUUUGUAAUUAUAUUAAAAAUAUAUUAAAUAUAUAAGAAUUAUAAGUGAGGAACCCAUAAACAAAGUUGUUAGUUGGCGUAUUGGUUCAAAAAGGGCUUGAAGAAAUGCCCCACAUACUUUUAUACCCCUAUUCGAAUCCCUUGGAACGACUAUUUUUUAAUUUAUUGAGAACCCACAAACUUAAAAUCCUAAAUCCGCCUCUGGGAGUAAAGGGCUUGACUAUGUCUUUGAGGAUACUCAAUUACUUUACAUAACUAAUUCUAACAUAAACUUUCGCAUAAAAUAAUUACUCAUAUUUGGUUGACCAUAUUAGAAAUGUUAUCAUUGUAGUAUUAUUUAAUGUAGUAUUUGGUUAGUCAUAUCAAACAAUAACUGGAUUAAGUUAUACGAGAAUUAUUUUAUGUGAGAUAAAACUAAAUCAAAAUACAUGUAAACAAUAUGAGAAUGGUAUUCUCUCCGUCCUAUUUUAUGUGACAUACUUUGAUCAGGUACAGAGUUUAAGAAAUAAAAACAGGGUUGGUGAUGUUUAUUAAAUUGUCCUUCGUUCAUUAAAAAAUGUACUACUAUUAUCUUUAAUAAAAUGUAUCCUUAUAAGUGGAAUCAAUAAAGUAAAAGUGAAAUUGAGUUCUUAAAUAGUUAUCAAAUAAGAAAAUAUGUAUUUUUAAACGGAUAAAAAAAUAGCUACAUAAAAUAAGACGGAGGAAGUGUUAUUAAAAAAUAAAAUUUAGUGCACAAUGUAUAUCUAUUUUAAAAUGAAUUGUGCACUAAAUAAGUGCACAAUCCAUAAAAAAUGAAUUGUGCACUUAUUAAGUGCACAAUCCAUAAAAAAAAAUUGUGCACUUAAUAAGUGCACAAUCCAUAAAAGAAAUGGAUUGUGCACUUAAUAAGUGCACAAUCCAUAAAAAAUGAAUUGUGCACUUCUUAAGUGCACAACUAAGUUGGACCAAAAUUAACUUUGUUCAGAGACUUGCCGUUAAAUUACAAAGACAUUGUGCACUUAUUAAGUGCACAAAGCCUAUUUUGGUAUUUUUUUUAUAUGUCAUACAUUGGUAUUUUUUUAGCUGUAGGGCAUAUUUUGGUUUCGGGUUCUCCAUUCAACAAGGUCUUACAACAGACAUUUGUCUUAGAUCACUUCCAACGAUAUGUGGAUCAUCCAAAACGGACACCCGAGCGACGAGUUAUGAACAUUCCGAUCGAACCAUGAAUAGUAGUGAACAGUAAAACGUGCAGAAAAAAGUACUGAGGCCUGACGUAUUUUUUCUCCAACUUUAAACAAUCAUAACUCCUUGUACAUAAUGAUCUGGGUGAUCUACUAUAUAUCAACGGAAAUAUCUACGAGUCCCUUUUCCAAUGAAAUUGGUUUUAUCCAAUUUAUCUAUCGGAGCAAAAAGUUAUGAUCGAUCUACUUCAGCCUAUCAAAAGUGAAUUUUUAGGUCAACUUCAAAUAAUCAUAAAUCUUCGUACACAAUGAUCUGGUGAGAUACUAUAUAUCAAUGGAAAUAUAUGAAAGUCCUCUUUCUAAUGAAAUUGGUUUCAUCCAAUUUGAAUAUCGGAGUAAAAUGUUAUGGUUGAUCUACUUCAGACUAUCAAAACAGUCCACCAAAGGACAGAUUCGAGAAUUUUUUAAAUUUUUGGGGCGUUUUGGUCAUUCCCCCUCACCCAAAAUCCAUCCAAACCCUAUAUUAAAGUCUACUAGAAGCAUUAUAGGUUAUAUUUCAUCAAACUCCCUAAAAAAGAAAACCCUAAGCUCCUACAUCCAACUUCAAGAACCUCCAAANNNNNNNNNNNNNNNNNNNNNNNNNNNNNNNNNNNNNNNNNNNNNNNNNNNNNNNNNNNNNNNNNNNNNNNNNNNNNNNNNNNNNNNNNNNNNNNNNNNNNNNNNNNNNNNNNNNNNNNNNNNNNNNNNNNNNNNNNNNNNNNNNNNNNNNNNNNNNNNNNNNNNNNNNNNNNNNNNNNNNNNNNNNNNNNNNNNNNNNNNNNNNNNNNNNNNNNNNNNNNNNNNNNNNNNNNNNNNNNNNNNNNNNNNNNNNNNNNNNNNNNNNNNNNNNNNNNNNNNNNNNNNNNNNNNNNNNNNNNNNNNNNNNNNNNNNNNNNNNNNNNNNNNNNNNNNNNNNNNNNNNNNNNNNNNNNNNNNNNNNNNNNNNNNNNNNNNNNNNNNNNNNNNNNNNNNNNNNNNNNNNNNNNNNNNNNNNNNNNNNNNNNNNNNNNNNNNNNNNNNNNNNNNNNNNNNNNNNNNNNNNNNNNNNNNNNNNNNNNNNNNNNNNNNNNNNNNNNNNNNNNNNNNNNNNNNNNNNNNNNNNNNNNNNNNNNNNNNNNNNNNNNNNNNNNNNNNNNNNNNNNNNNNNNNNNNNNNNNNNNNNNNNNNNNNNNNNNNNNNNNNNNNNNNNNNNNNNNNNNNNNNNNNNNNNNNNNNNNNNNNNNNNNNNNNNNNNNNNNNNNNNNNNNNNNNNNNNNNNNNNNNNNNNNNNNNNNNNNNNNNNNNNNNNNNNNNNNNNNNNNNNNNNNNNNNNNNNNNNNNNNNNNNNNNNNNNNNNNNNNNNNNNNNNNNNNNNNNNNNNNNNNNNNNNNNNNNNNNNNNNNNNNNNNNNNNNNNNNNNNNNNNNNNNNNNNNNNNNNNNNNNNNNNNNNNNNNNNNNNNNNNNNNNNNNNNNNNNNNNNNNNNNNNNNNNNNNNNNNNNNNNNNNNNNNNNNNNNNNNNNNNNNNNNNNNNNNNNNNNNNNNNNNNNNNNNNNNNNNNNNNNNNNNNNNNNNNNNNNNNNNNNNNNNNNNNNNNNNNNNNNNNNNNNNNNNNNNNNNNNNNNNNNNNNNNNNNNNNNNNNNNNNNNNNNNNNNNNNNNNNNNNNNNNNNNNNNNNNNNNNNNNNNNNNNNNNNNNNNNNNNNNNNNNNNNNNNNNNNNNNNNNNNNNNNNNNNNNNNNNNNNNNNNNNNNNNNNNNNNNNNNNNNNNNNNNNNNNNNNNNNNNNNNNNNNNNNNNNNNNNNNNNNNNNNNNNNNNNNNNNNNNNNNNNNNNNNNNNNNNNNNNNNNNNNNNNNNNNNNNNNNNNNNNNNNNNNNNNNNNNNNNNNNUAUUGAUUUUCUUAGAGGCUUGUCAGACUAAUAUAGAUGUUGGGAGUUGACUAAUAAGUCGUAGUUUGUUAUCUUUCUGAAAUUCUUUUAUUCUUGGAUGAUGAUUACUCUGUUGAUAUUUGAGGGUUAUUUAUGAAAACCCCGUUGAUUUGUGUUGGACUGAAUGAAAAUGGCUCAAAGGGUUAGCUUGGGGAUACUCGUAGCCUCAAGCACCGUGUGACGCUCCGGGACCCAUUUCUCGGGGCGUUACAAUUUAUCAUGAAUAUAACAUACUAGGAUCAAAGCUUGAAACUUUGUAAACAAAACAUGAAUUAAAACUCAAUAAUAACAUGAACUUCAAUUUCAAUUCACAUGAAUCAUGAAAUUUCAUAAAUAUGAGAUCUUUGAAUUUGAAAAAGGAUUAUUGAACUUCUUGGGUGGAAGAAACCUAAGAAUCGACAUCUGCAUACCUUACUACUUGAUCCUCGUAAGAUUAAUGGUGAAACCUUGAUGAUUGGGGUCUUGUUUUUUGAACCCUAGCUCUUGUUCUUGAGAAAAAUUGAGAGAAAACAAUAAUAUUUGAGUUUAAUGUGGCUGAAUCUCAUGUUAAGGAGUAUAUAUAGGGGUAAAAAAAUGACCAUUUUGCCCUUGAAAUUAAAAUCCAGAACUGAAACAUUGAUAAAAGCUUCACUGCGAUACGGUGGAAUCGCGGUGAGCUUCUGGAAUAUGAUGAUUCUGAAAUUGAGCCUUGGAACGACGUGCCAUUUUUACGGAGGCUCACUGGAUUUUGACAAUUUCCAUUUUCACUGACUCCGCGACGUGCCAAAGUAACAGGUGGUACAUUGUCUUACUAAAAUGGCUCUGACUCUUCGCCCGAUUGUCGAAUUUGGGCGAAUUUGGUAUCGAUGGAAAACUUUUUCAAUUUUCCAUGUGAUAAAAGUCAAAAUAUUAAAAAUUUCACAUGGAAUAAAAUAUAUUCAUCUUCGGAGAAAAUUCUUUGAUGUUCUAGAGAUGAAUUUGAACUAGGAGAAGGGUGGGGUAUUACAGUCUGACAACCGGAUAAGCCAAAAAUCUAAACAAUUGCCUAAAAGCCUAUAAACAUAAUGUGUUGUUGGUGCAAACCUCCAACCAACUCCAAAUAAGUAAAACUGAUAAGAAAAUAAAGACUGAUAUCAAGUCCUCAAAAGAUGAGGACUCACCAAAAGUUGUUGCUAAAUGUGGAGCAGGAAUAUGCUAAGCGUAGUAUGGGUACUAAGCAUCCGAACUAUAUCAUAAGAAAAUAUAGCACAAAAAAGUAUGCUAGCAGUACUUUGAAUAUACAGAGUAUUUGAGAUAGGAAACUGGCUAACAUAAAUUGAACAUGAAUGCAUGAACAUGUAAACUGAAUGCAAAACCAAGUAUGAACGUAUGCCAGACAAAACUGAAUACUGAAUAACUAAUUAUCUAAGUACUUGGUCAAGAUACCCCAAUCUAAGCAAAUCUGGGUCCAAUCUAUAACCCCAGUUGGAAGGGUGUUAUACCUUGCCAAAGGUACAAACUCUGGUUGGCGUGGAUCCACUAAACUGAUGUAAUGCCACGAAAAGGUACCCCGAGGAUCACACAGUGCUCGAUACUACAAGUAGUCCCAAGCUAACCCUUUAAGCCUUCUAUAAAUUUUGAAAAUCAUAAUAACAAUGAACUAGGCAUAUGAAAUACUGAAAUGCUGAAUUACUGUCUGAAAAGAAAGUAUUUAACCUAUAAAUCUAAUCAAUCAACACUUUAAAUCUAAGACUGGAUAAACAGUCGGACAAGCCUCUACUACUACUAACUAGAGAGCCACUGGGACAGACCCCCAACUGACUCGAAAUAAAUUGAAAAUAACUGAUUAAAGUACUUCAUAAAGCUGGAAAUCCAAAUAAGAGGGUCCCCAAACUAUGACGACUCACCAACUAUCGGGAUGUAGGUAAGGAUACUCGCAGUCAAUCACACUGCUGGAACUAAGCACCAAAACCUACAAUAUAAGACAAUGUAGCACAUAGACAUAUAUGUGGGUAAGUAUUUUUGGAAUGUACUGAGCAUGUGGGGUGAAUGCAUAAGUAAAAACAAUAAUUCAAUAGUCUCACAAAUUUUUCAGGUAAUCCAUACUAAGUGUAAAUGAAUCACCUUAGUUUGAAUUAAACAAGGACUGCAAAAUAAUAAAACAUGAGUAUGUAAAGCAUAGUAAUAAUCUUUGUGAGUCAUAGCACUUAGGGGCCGUUUGGUUUAAGGUAUACAAAAUUCAAAGGGAUAAGUUAUCCCGGGAUAAAAUAAAAGAUCACUUAAUUCCUUGUUUGGUUGGAGGGAUUCUUUUUCACUGCUCGAUAGAAAGAUAUCCAACCUGGGAUAACUUAUCCCACUAUUUUCUCCUUAGUGAUGGGAUAACUUAUCCCAUAUACAUGGUGGGAUAAGUUAUUCUGGGAUAACUAAUCCCGAUAUUAGUUAUCCCAGGAUAACAAUUUCCCAACCAAACGACCCCUUAGUUCUAAAAGUUGUACUUUUAGUAUCUCUUAGAGAGGUUCUUUUAACCGACAUAAACCAUGUAAGCUAUCAUGCAGUCCAACGUCUUACCCACGUUAGGGAGAGUUGUCCUACCUUUUCCAUCAAAAUAGGACCUUAACUUAAGUGAUCAAUAGACAUAACCCGUUUAGGAACUUUAGACCUACAGUGGCUCGUAGUUCUGGGGCAUGAUACCUUAGAAUCAUACCCAAAUCGGUGCUCCAUACUACUCCCAUACUUAUAUGCUCAGGCUUUAGGAAAUCCACCUUAAAAUAACAUAAGGGUUUAUAAUGAAAACCAGUUAUGCAUCUAUUUUCUUACAACUGUAAUCAAAAGUAACAUAUGUGGAUUUCAUAUCUUAACUGGGGAUCAAAAGAUCAAUUCUUGCAAAGCAAAUCUGAAUACAUGCUUAACAAAGAUUUCUUAAAACCAUAAUCUUCUUAAAAUAUCAAAACUUAAACUCAGGGCUUAAAACCCAUGCUUCAAACUCAUAUCAAUUCACAUCAAAACUUAAUGCUCAAUAAUAAUAAUCUUGAAGUACUUUAACAAUUCUAGUCAAGAUAAUGAAAUUCAAUUCUCAACAUAAGAAAUCAAAUCACACGCAUAGAUAGGUGAAAGUAGUUAUACAAUUCAACACUUAAAUCACUUGGUAACUUCAUAAACUUCAAACAAUGGUAUUUGGGUAUGAACCCUAGACUGCAAAUCCUGUAAAUUUAACUUUUAAAACUAUUUUUGGGCACAAGGAUGAAAAAAGUAUCCUUGUUCAUAACCCCACAUACCUUAUUAGGCCUAAUUAAUGUAGAAACUUGACUUUAAACUCCUAAAGAUGUUCUUGAAGGCUUCUUGUUGAAGUUCUUAGACUUGGAAACUUAAAAUAUUCACUUUCUUUAAGAAGGAGUAAUGGAUUUUUAGUGUUCUUAAGAGGAGGUUAGGGUUUUGUUGGAGAGGAAAAGUGAAUAAAGAUGUAAGUAAUGCUCUUUGGGGCUGAAAUAUUGUGUUAGGAAUGGAUUUGGGAGUAGGGAAAUGACUCAAAUACCCCCAUGGACCCAUAAUUUAAUAAGACAAACUGGGCAACCGAUGAGAUAAAUCUCCUGUCACGUCACUCACAUGACGCGAUAGAUGACACAUUACGUUGAUACCACCUGAUACGAUUAAUGAUGCAUCACAUCUAUAUCGUGGAGCCACUCUAUUUUGGCCAUCCAAACAUGCCCCAAACCUCGUCUAAAAAAUCCAAAACUCACCCAAGAUGUCCUAUUGUCAACUCCAAUCAUGAAACAACUUAGAAACUGACAUUCCAAGGUUGGGAGGGUCAAAAAUAAAUUGUCGAAGUUUAGGAGCUCUAGAAAUGACUAAGUCCUAAUACCUGAUGAAAAUUUCUAAGUUUUGGACCCCCUUAACAUAGACUAGUAAGUUGAAUUGAGCUAGGAUUUUGUGGGGUAUUACAAUAUAUCCCCCUUGGGAACAUUCGUCCUCGAAUGAGAUUGAUUAAACUGAGAAUGUUGAGAAACUACGAUUAUGUAUUGAGCUCGUAUAACUGAAAGGAUGCUUACAUGUUGAACUAAGUUGAAUGCAUGAUUAUGACAUAAGGAUGAUAUGCAGAAUUAGAACUGAGAAUGGAAGAGAGAAAAUCUAAGUAAAAUAGUUACCUUAAGCUAAGUCUAAACUUACAGAAAAAAGAUGAGGGUACUUGGCUCACAUAUCUGCUUCUUCCUCCCAAGUGGCGCCCUUAACGGACUGAUUCCACCAAAGAACUUUGACCAAGGGAAUUUUUUUAUUCCUUAGUCUAUGAAUUUGAUGAUCAAGAAUCUCAACUGGGACUUCUUCAUACGAAAGGCUACCCUGAAUAAAUGUGCUUUCCAAGGGAAUAAUAACAGCCAGAUCACCAAUACACAUCUUCAGUAAGGAUACAUGAAAUACUAGGUGAACGUAUGACAAGUCUGUAGGCAACUCAAGCUCAUAGGCUACUUUCCCAACAUUAUUUAAGAUCCUGUAAGGGCCAACAUAUCGAGGACUAAGAUUCCCCUUUGUUCCAAAUAUAUUUACCUCUUCGUGGGAGAAAUCUUUAAAUGAACUAAGUCACCAACCUCAAACUCAAGGUCCCUUAUCCUCACAUCUACAUACGAUUUCUGUCGACUCUGGGCUAUUUUCAACCUCUCUCAAAUUGGCUGAAAUUUUUUCAUAGCUUCAAACACCACAUCUGGCCCUAUCCUAAAGGGCUCACCCACUUCAAACUAACUAAUAGGAGAUCUACAUCUCCUCCCAUAAUGAGCCUCAAAUGGGGCCAUCUAAAUGCUAGAAUGGUAACUGUUAUUGUAGCCAAUGGCAAGUGAUCAUCCCAACUAUCCUUGAAGUCAAGAACACACACCCUCAACAUAUCCUCUAGAGUCUGAAUGGUCCUCUCUGCUAGACCAUGUCCUGAGGGUGAAAUAUUGAACUGAGAUGAACCUGGGUACCAAGACACCCUUCUGAAAGGCUUUCCAAAAGUGAGAGGUAAACUGAGUAUCUCUAUCUAAAAUGAUGGACAAAAGAACUCCAUACAGUUUGACCAACUCUCUAAUGUAAAUAUUAACAUAAUCCUCAGCUGAGUAAGAAGUAUAGACUGGCAAGAAAUGGGCUGACUUGGUUAUUCUGUCAACAAUAACCUAAAUCAAAUCAUGCUAAUAUCACGAACAAGGAAACCCUAUCCAAAAGUCCAUAUUCACCUCUUCCCACUUCCAAGUGGGAAUGAUAAACUCCUGCAAGGUGACACCAGGCCUUUGGUAUUCUAAUUUAACCUGUUGGCAAGUAGAACACUUAGCCACAAAAUCUGCAAUUUCUUUCUUCAUACCACUGUACCAAUAGAUUUCUCACAAAUCACGGUACAUCUUAGUAGCUCCUAGGUGUAUAGAGUAACACGUACCAUGCGCUUCAGCCAAACUCCACUGCCUCAAACCAUCAACACAUGGCACACACAGUCUACCCUGAUAUUGCAGCACCCUAUCUCCCCCUUGGGAGAAAACUUCUACUCUUUGGUCUCUAACUGACUCCUUCAACUUAACCAAACUAGAGUCCUUAUUUUACUUCUUCUUCACUUCAAACAUUAAAGAAGACUCGGAAAUACUCGUGACCCAAAUACUACCCUCGGCUGAGUCAACCAACCAAACUCCUCAUCUAGCCAACAGAUGAACUUCCCAAACUAAUUAUUUCUUAUUACUCCCCAAAUAAACGACACUACUCAUAGACAGUCUACUAAGGACAUCUACCACAAUAUUGGCCUUGCCCGAAAGAUACAAAACACUCAUAUCAUAAUUUUUCAAUAACUCCAACCACCUCCUUUUAUGAAGAUUCAAAUCUUUCUAUGAAAAUACAUACUAUACACUUUUAUGAUCGGUGAACACAUCAACAUGCACCCAUAAAGAUAGUGCCUUCAAAUCUUUAAGGCAAACACAACAACAGCCAACUCAAGAUCAUAGGUCGGAUAGUUAUUUUCAUGAGGUUUAAGUUGUCUUAAGGCAUAAGAGAUAACCUUAACUCUCUCCAUCAAGACACAACCCAUACCAAAUCUUAAAGCAUCAUAGUAAACCACAAAUCCAUCUAACCCAUCGGGUAGCAUCAAAACUGGGAAUGAAGUGAGUCGAGUCUUCAACUCCUGAAAACUCUUCUCGAAAGAAUAUGACCACUGAAACUUAACCUUCUUUAGAGUCAAUCUAGACAUGGGGAUGCAACCAUCGGUAAUAGCCAGCUAAACCUAAGAAACUCCUGAUGUCAGAUGGAGAGAUGGGUCUUGGCCAGUUUCUCACUAUAUUGGUCUUUUGAGGAUCAACUCUAAUUCUAUCACCAGAAAUAAUAUGGCCAAGAAAAUCUACUGAUCUUAGCAAAAAUUCACACUUGUUGAAUUUGGCGAACAACUGGUGAUCUUUAAGAGUUUUCAACAUGAUUCUGAGAUAGUCUGCAUGAUCAUCCUCACUAUAAGAGUAGACAAGGAUAUAAUCGAUAAAUACUAUGACAAACAUGUCCAAAUAUUAUUUGAACACUCUGUUCAUCAAGCCAUGAAGGCUGCUACGGCGUUUGGUAGCCCGAAAGACAUGACUAAAAAUUCAAAGUGACUGUCAUGGGUGAUAACGCUCAAACUAUACCUCUCUAAUGAGAAUGUAAGAGAUCAUUGUCAAUAUAUAACCCAACUAGGUUGGGGUUGAAUCCCACAAGAAAUAUGAUAUGAACUUAAGUUCUUUGCGAUUUAAUCAACUGAUAGUUGGAUAUUUCCUAAAAUGGGGUGUUUUUAGAUUAGCAAAUAAUUGUUGGUCAUUUUAGUUUCAGUGUUUGUAAUCAAGAGUUUAUGGAAAACUAAAAUUAUGUUCACUACGGGUUUUAGUACUUGACAAAUGCUAAUAGUGAUUCAAGAUUCUCAUAGUAGGUAGGACAACAGAUUAUCUCUAUUGAAGUUAUGCCUAAAUGUCUCUCGACCUACUUAAAUAUUUAAUUACCUAAUCCUCUUGGACUUAGGGAAUUUAUAUUUACUAACCAGACAUUACCUCAGGUUAAUCAACCUUGUUACAACAUCAAUUAUUAAAUGGAAGUUUAGUGUUUCCAAGUCCCUGUCAAUAAUUCACUUCCUACUAUAUUUGAUUUCUUAUCUCAAGCAAAUCAAAGCAGGUGCUAUCUGUCGUUUGCAGCCAAUAGAAAAUAAUUAAAAACUCAGAAUUAUUAAAGAGUCCUAUUACCUUUAGAAUAAAAAACACAUAGCAUCUUACUAAGACUUAAUCCAUAGAUCCCAUAAUUUGGGUCAAAGGUAUUUAGCCACUCAUAAUGUAAUAAGCGAAACAACUAGACGUAUUCAUAAUUUGAAAGAUAAACUUACCAUAAGAUGAAUAAUAACUAGUGAUUCUCAGAUUAGAUCACAAUAGAAAUCCCAAAAUAUUGAUGAAAAUCUCUUCAAAGUUAAUUGUUUUUCAAGACAAGAAACUAGAGAGAAAAAUAACAAAAUACGUGUGUUCCAAAAUUAUGUUCAGAACUCCUUUAGAAAACCCUAAACAAUAUUUUUAUAGUUCAGCCUAAAUAAGGAAACAAAAUCACAGAGUUUAAUAAUUUCUUGAAUUAGGCGACGACAUUCGUGACACCUUAUUAGGAGUUUGACAACUUGUCACAAAUAUCGUCAGCUCCCACUUCAGUUUUAGCACUUCCUGCUUAAGGCUGACAAUGAAUCCUGAUGACUUAUUAGAAAUGUGACGACAUAUUAGAUAAUGUCAUCACUUCUCCACCUCAGUUCACAUGUUCUGCCUAAGGCUGACGACGACUCUGAUGACUUAUCAACUCUUUGACGACUUAUCAGGAAAUGUUAUCACAACUUUCAGCUGAGGUUCAUUCUCUGUCUAAGGCUGAUGGUAUAUCUGAUAACUUAUCACAGGGCUGACGACUUAUCAGGAAUGUUGUCAGCCACACUUCUCUUCUAUUCGCUUCAGAUUUCAACUCUUUUGCUUCCAUCCCUGUUGGUUCUCUUGCAUCUUGGCUUCUAUUGCAAAAUCAAAGAUAAAACAAUCAAAAAUAACAAAAUUUUCUUAAGACCUUGUAAUUAUUCUCAGUUAAAAGCCUCAAAUAUGUUAGCGUCUGCUCACAUAUCAACGGGUUUUGAACGUUGUCUUUGGAAUAUCAUUUUCCCUUACUCUAAGCUAAUGAUUGUCGGAUCUAAGGUAUAUCUUAGAGAAAUAACUUGCAACUUGUAGUUGAUUGAAUAAGUCAUUAAUCCUAGGAAGAGGAUAUUUGUAUUUGAUUGUGACUUUAUUAAACUGACGAUAGUCAAUGCACAUUCGAAGAGAACCAUCUUUCUUAUACAUAAACAGGACUAGAGUGCCCCAUGGAGAGAUACUAGGCCUUAUGAAACCUUUAUCUAAGAGGUUUUUGAGUUUCUCUUUUAACUCUUUAAGAUCGGCAGGAGCUAUGCAAUAUGGAGGAAUAGAGAUGGGUUGUGUAUUAGGAAAAAGAUGAAUACCAAAUUCUAUUUCUCUUUCUAGAGGUACCCCUAGCAGAUCUUCGGGAAAAACCUCGGGAAACUCAUUGACUACACGGACUGACUGAACUUUUGAAUCUUCAAACUAUCUUUGACUCAUACUAAAUGAUAAAUGCACCCUUUUAAUAUUACCUUUAUGGCCUUAAUAUAGGAUAUGAAAUGACUCUUGGGGGAUUCAGAACUACUUUCCCACUCAAAAACUGGCUCGUUCGGAAACUAAAACUAUACCACAGUGGUGGGGCAAUCUAUAGAUGCAUAAUAGAAAUAAAGCCAAUCCAUGCCUAGAAUAAUGUCAAAAUCAACCACGUCUAACUCUAUUAGGUCUGCUAGUAUGAUCUUAUGAAGGACUAUAAUAGGACACUUUUUAUAGACUUGUCUAGCAACAACUGACUCACCUAUUAGGGUGGAAACUAUAAAGGGCUUAGAAAGAUUUUCAGGGCCUACCAUAAAUUUACCGCAACCAAAGGAGUCACAUAAGAGAGAUUUGACCUUGGGUCUAACAACAUAUAGACAUCAAGAUAAAAUACACAAAUCAUACUAGUAACAACAUCUAGUAAGCUCUCCCACUCUUGAUGGAAUGGUCAAGCAUAAAAUCAAUUCUAGAGUUGACCCCCACCGGUACUAGAAGAUGCACCCUGAGAAGGAACUGGGCGACCUAGUGGCACUGGUGCAUUAGUAGCCUAAGUCUGGGAACAAACAUCCUUUCCUUCCUUGCUUAGAAUGUGGACACUCUUUGAUUUCAUAACCCAUCUUACCACUUCCAUAGAAACCCUUCAUUCUCUUCAAAAACUCAACAGAUAGCUUCAAUCACACUUUACAUAUGGUAGGUAAUUGGGACUUUCUCCCAUACUACUCUGAGACAUAGAAACAAAAGUCCUACCUUGCUGCUCUUUCUUGGUUAUGGGUGCGGGUGAACUGGAUGAAGAUGGUGCUGGGAUAGAUAAGUGACCCUGAAACUGAGAAUGAUUUCCCACACCAUACCUUGCUUGGCCAGACUUAAACUAUUCGAUUCUAGCCUUUUUAUUUCCCCUCUCUCUCCUUUAACUUCUAUACCUCAAUCAGUUGAGCAUGAGUCAUCAACCUAGAAUGGGAGUCCUACACUCCUUGACUACUACCCAAACACUCCAGUAACAAACUUAAUCAUACUAUAUCUAGGGUUAACUACUAAUUAAGGACCAUACUUAGACAAUUGAGUGAACAUAAAGUAGUACUCCUUCACUAUUAUCGAGCCCUGCCUCAAGUUCAUGGACUCCUCAACCUUAGUUUCUCUCUUCUCACAUGGAAAGAACCUAUCUAGAAAUGGAUCCUGAAAUACCUGCCAGUUCAUAGGAGUUACAUUCUCCCCUUUAAUAUUCUUCCACAUAACAACCCAGUCAUAAGCAACAUUCUUCAGCCUAUAGGAUGCCAAUCUACACUCUCCUCCUCAGUAACAUGCAAACUUAAGUGAUUUUCCUCACCUCGUCAAUGUAGAGCUAUGGGUCCUCACUAACUUUUGAACCAAAGAACUCAGGUGGAUUCAUUCUCAUUAAAUCACGAAUCCUGGCUACAGCUAAAUCACCAUUCUGCUGAAGUGGGACUGUAACCUGAUGGUUGCCCUGAACUUUGGCAGUCAAGGCUUAGGCCAACGCCUGAAAGAAAGACCAAAAUUCAACAUAAGACACAUUCUCAUUUAGAGGAUCAAAAGGCAGGGGUGGUUAGUUAUUAUUUCUGCAUGCAUUCGCUCAGUGAGGAGGCAUAUUCUAUCACAUAAAAUUAUGAGUUAAAGCAGAUAGUGAUGCCUGUAAGCAUGAUGGAUUAUGAAAUAAAAAGAUGAUUCCUAAGUUGUGUUGUAGCCUCUUUCUCAUAAAUGUCGCGCGCUUCACACCCAUGAUCAACACACUACAUAAUGCGGCUUGUCUGACUCCUAGGACUCUUUAAACUUUAGGCUUUGAAACUAAGUUUGUAACACCCCAGAAAGUUAACUCGAGCGUCACACGGUGCUCAAGACUAUGAGUAGUCCCAAGCUAACCCUUUAAGCCUUCUAUAAAUUCUAAAAAUCAUAAUAACAAUGAACUAGGCAUACGAAAUACUAAAAUAUUGAAUUACUGUCUAAACUGAACGUAUUUAACCUAGAAAUCUAAUCAAUCAACACUUUAAAUCUAAGAUAGGAUAAAUAGUCAGACAAGCCUCUAAUACUACUAACUAGAGAGCCACUGGGAAAGACCCCCAGCUGACUCAAACUAAACUAAAAAUAAAUGAUUAAAUUACUUGAUAAAGCUGGAAAUUUGAAUAAGGAGGUCUCCAGACUCUGAGGACUCACCAACUAUCGGGAUGCAGGUAGGGAUACUCGUGGGCAAUCACGCUACUGGAACUAAGCAUCUGAACCUACAUUAUAAGACAAUAUAGCACAUUAACUUAUAUGUGGAUCAGUACUUUCGAAAUGUACUAAGCAUGUCGGGGUGAAUGCAUAAGUAAAAACAACAAUUCAAUAUUCUCAUAAAGUUUUCAAGGAAUGCAUACUAAGUGUAAAUGAAUCACCUUGGCUUGAAUAAAACAAGGACUGCAAAAUAAUAAAACAUGAGUAUGUAAAGCAUAAUAAUAAUCUUUGUGAGUAAUAACACUUAGUUCUAAAAGAUGUACUUUUAUUAUCUCUUAGGGAGGUUCUUCUAACCAAUAUAAACCAUAUGAGCUAUCAUGGAGUCCAAUGUCUUACCCAAUUUGGGGAGAGCAACCCUACCUUUGUCAUCGAAAUAGGACCUUAACUUAAGUAACCACUAUACUUAAUCUAUAUAGGGACUUUAGGCCUAUGGUGGCUCAUAGUUAUGGUGCACAAGACCUUGGAAUCAUACCCAACUCGGUGCUAAGUACUACUCCCAUACUUAUAUGCUCAAGAUUUAGGAAAUCCACCUUAAAAAAGCAUAUGAAAACCAGUUAUGAACUCCUACCUUAUUGAUAACCCCACAUACCUUAUUAGGCCUAAUUGAUGUAUCCUUGUUCAUAACCCCACAUACCUUAUUAGGCCUAAUUGAUGUAGAAACUUGACUUUGAACUCCUAAAAAUGUUCUUGAAGGAUUCUUCUUAAAGUUAUUAGACUUGGAAACUUAAAAAUAUUGACUUUCUUGAAGGAGUAAUGGAGUUUUAGUGUUCUUGAGAGGAGGUUAGGGUUUUCUUGGAGAGGAAAAGUGAAUAAAGAUAUAACUAAUGCUCUUUGGGGCUGAAAUCUUGUGUUAGGAAUGGAUUUGGGAGAGGUGAAAUGACUCAAAUACCCCCGUGGACCCAUAAUUUAAUUAGACAAACUGGGCACCCGACGAGAUAAACAGCCUGUUGCGUCGCUCCUAUGACGCGAUAGGCGACACGUCACAUUGAUAGCACCUAACACAAUUAACAAUGCAUUGCAUUUAUAUCGUGGAGCCACUCUAUUUUGGACAUCCAAACAUUCCUUGAACCUCAUCCGAAAAAUGAAAAACUCACCUAAGAUAUACUAUUGAUAACCCUGAUCAUAAAAUAACUUAGAAACUGAUAUUUUGAGGUCGGGAGGGUCUAAAAUAAAAUCGUUGAAUUUUUGGAGCUUUAGAAAUGACUAAGUCCUAACACUUACUGAAAUUUUAUAAGUCUUGGACCUCCUUAACAUGUACUAGUAAGUUUAAUUGAGCUAGGAUUUAAUAGGUUCUUACAACUGAUAUCUUAGAGGAUGAAGGUGUCAGCCUUAUAUGAUGGGUGACCCCUUAUAACCUACGGUAGUAUCAUAGUUCUAGAUCUUAGGAACUUCUACUAAAGGACUCAAUCCUAACAGAUGGAUGAGUCUUCAUCCCUGCAGUCAAAUGGUUCUAAGCAUGAUUCCAACUGGACGACACUAAAAAAAUUAUAUAUAUAUAUAUAUAUAUAAUAAUAUUCUUGAAAAUAGUAACAAAUGCAUAAUCAGAAGUGCUUGAAACAUGAUAACUAAUACAUGCAUAAAAUCCUAGGUAUCGGGUAUUCAUAACCCAAUAGCUCUGGCUAAUGCACUGAACAUGAUAAAUGUUAAGAGUUGAUCCUAUUAGGUGAUUUCAUACUUCAAGCCAAAAACUCAGUGAUUGAUCAUAAUAAGGAAAUUCAUGAUUUUUGAACAUAGAAGAUGUCACUCUUAUAGGAAGACUUGUAUUCGUCAUAUAAUCGCAAGGAAAACAAAGUAAAUUAAAGAAACUUCAUAUUUGAUCUAUAACCGAACUUGAGGGUAAAGUAAACUUGAGGUGUAGAGGCUUUUUGGGACUAAAUGGGUAGAAGGGAACCAUGAAUGAAACCCCACAUAUCUAAAGUGGAAUAUUUGAAGAAAAUUAUUGGAAUUGGUGCUUGUUUCUGAGAAACCCUAACUUGCUUUGGAGAAGAGGAAAAUAGCUUCUUUUGCUAAGUGUAGAAUGAUUUAUGAUUAACUAGUGAAUUUUUGAUAAGUUUAAGAUUAUAUAACCCUCUUGGAGAAUCCUAAACAACGUGUGCAGACAAAUGGUUAUAAGCAUGAUUCCAACUGGACGACACUAAAAAACUAAUAUAUAUAUAUAUAUAUAUAAUAAUAUUCUUGAAAAUAGUAACAAAUGCAUAAUCAGAAGUGCUUGAAACAUGAUAACUAAUACAUGCAUAAAAUCCUAGGUAUCGGGUAUUCAUAACCCAAUAGCUCUGGCUAAUGCACUGAACAUGAUAAAUGUUAAGAGUUGAUCCUAUUAGGUGAUUUCAUACUUCAAGCCAAAAACUCAGUGAUUGAUCAUAAUAAGGAAAUUCAUGAUUUUUGAACAUAGAAGAUGUCACUCUUAUAGGAAGACUUGUAUUCGUCAUAUAAUCGCAAGGAAAACAAAGUAAAUUAAAGAAACUUCAUAUUUGAUCUAUAACCGAACUUGAGGGUAAAGUAAACUUGAGGUGUAGAGGCUUUUUGGGACUAAAUGGGUAGAAGGGAACCAUGAAUGAAACCCCACAUAUCUAAAGUGGAAUAUUUGAAGAAAAUUAUUGGAAUUGGUGCUUGUUUCUGAGAAACCCUAACUUGCUUUGGAGAAGAGGAAAAUAGCUUCUUUUGCUAAGUGUAGAAUGAUUUAUGAUUAACUAGUGAAUUUUUGAUAAGUUUAAGAUUAUAUAACCCUCUUGGAGAAUCCUAAACAACGUGUGUUACGAGUUUAAAGGAUGGGAAAAUACUAAAAAACCCUUUUUAAAUCAUGUGUGAAUUUUUUCUCCAAUCAUAACGACUCAGGCGAUGACACAUUAUGACUGGUCACGAGUCGUGUCCUGGGGAUUUGAUCCUGGGGUCUUUACAAUACUAAUAACAACUUCUCUUCUAAUGAAUCUUUGGGUCUGAUCACAUUCUUUAGGGGCAAUCAUUAUUAGAGACUUGAUUUCUUGGUUUCUUUCUGUUGUGACAACAAGUCCACCUAAUGACUCAUUAGGACUGAUUACGAGUCAUUGGUUAGACUAAUUACCAUAGGGCUGAAUUUCUAGGAUAACUCACUAUCAUGAAAAGGAUUUAAAACAAUGACUCAUUGCAUAUGGUAAUGGGUCAUCUCAUGAGUCGUUAUCACUAGCCGUUUGAUAGUCUCUCAGUCAACUGGUCAUAACAUUUUGACAUGAUAUCAGACAAAGGCGAGACUGGUAGCAUUGGAAAGCUGAUUUAUUGGCCUAUCUGGUUAUAUAUAUAAAGAUUUAAAGCUUGGGGUAUUACAAUAUCUCCCCUUUGGAAUCAUUCAUUCUCGAAUGAAACUAUCUGAGCUGAGAGACUAGGGGAAAGCAGAAAUUUUUGUAUUAAAAACUUACGUGUUGAAUCAUGAACAAAUAUCUAAAUUUAUGAAUAAUGCAUUAGCUGAACUGAACUUAUGAAUGCAUGUUAUGGCAUGAAGAUAGAUGGAUGGAUGAGAUAGAAAUGGAAGAAUUAAUUAAUUAAGAAAACUAUUAUCUCAUGUUGGAACUGUGUUCGAAGAGAAAAAAUAAGGGUACUUGGCCAGCAUAUCUAUCUCUACUUCCCAAGUAGUUCCCCAAACUGACUGGUUUCUCCACAGAACAUUUACUAAGUGACCUUUUUAGUCCUCAGCCUAUGAAUUUGGAGGUCAAGGAUCCCAAUUGGGACCUCCUCAUAAGAGAGGAUAUUUUUCGUGCCAAUCUGUUCUAAAGGGACUACUGAUGUUGGGUCACCAAUGCAUUUCUUCAACAAGGAGACAUGGAAGAUUGGAUGCACUAAUGCUAACUCUGAAGGCAAAUCCCACUCAUAGGCUACCUUACCAUAACGACGGGAAAUCAUGUAAGGUCCAACAUAAUGGGGAUGGAGCUUUCCCUUUUUACCAAAUCUCUUCACCCCUUUUAUGUGGAAAACCCUCAAAUAGAUAAAAUCACCAAUAUCAAACUUAAGUUCCCUUCUCCUUAUAUUGUCAAAGGAUUUUUGAUGGCUUUGGGAAGUUUUUAGCCUUUUUCAAAUAAGAUGAACUUUCUUCAUCACCUCAUGAAAUGAAUCUAGCCCUAUCAAAGCAACCUCACUAACCUCAAACCAACCAAUUGUAGAUCUAUAUCUCCUACCAUAAAGAGCCUCAAAUAGAGCCAUCUGAAUAUUCGAGUGAUAGCUAUUUUUAUAUGAAAACUCAAUCAAAGGCAAGUGAUUAUCCCAACUAACCUUGAAAUCAAUUACACACACCCUUAAUAUGUACUCUAAGGUCUGAAUGGUCCUCUCGACAUGACCAUGGUCUAUGGGUGAAAAGCGGUACUAACAUAAACUGGGUACCAAGACCCUUCUAAAAACCUUAAGAAAAUAAGAGGUAAACUAGGUACCUCUGUCUAAAAUAAUAGUUAAAGGACUCCAUCUAAAUUCACCAACUCCCUUAGAUAGAGUCAAGCAUAAUCUUCAGUUGAAUCUAAUGUAUUAAUUGGCAAGAAAUGAGCUGACCUAGUCUUUCGAUCUAUAAUCACCCAAAUUGAAUCAUGUUGGCGAUGACUAUGAACAAAUCCUAUGAUGAAACCCAAAUUCACUACUUCUCACUACUAAGUAGGAAUAAUAAAUUUUUGAAGUGUACCACUAGGCAUCAGGUGCCCAAUCUUAACUUGUUGGAAAUUUAGACACUUGGCCAUGAAUUCUGCAAUAUCCUUCUUCAUACCAUUCAACUAUAGACUUCCCACAAGUCAUGAUAUAUCUUAGUGGCUCCUGGUUGAAUAGAAUAUCAAGAACCGUGAGUCUCUACUAAUAUUAUUGCCUUAAAUCAUCUACAUUCAUAACACAUAAUCUACCUUGAGAGUGAAUUACACCAUCUCCCUAUUGGGAGAAUAUCUCAAGCUUCUGAUUUUGAACCACCUACUUUAACUUAAGCAAGGUAGAAUCUUUAUCCAGCUUUUCCUUUACCUCAAUAAUUAAUAAAGAUUUAGAACCCAAAUACUACCUUUGGCCAAAUUGACCAACCAAACUCCCAACCUAGAAAGAUAAUGAACCUCAUGAACUAACUCUUUCUUAUCAUCUUCCACUUGGGUAAGACUACCCAUAGAUGGCCUGCUAAGGGUGUCAGCCACCAUAUUGGCUACUUAAGUGAUACAAGACACUCAUAUCAUAAUUAUUCAACAACUCUAGCCACCUUAUCUAAUGAAGAUUUAGAUCUUUUUAACUAAAAGCAUACUAGAGACUCUUAUGAUCAGUGAACACAUCAACAUGAACCCCAUAAAUAGAAUGUCUUUAAAUCUUUAAGGAAAAUACGACUACUACCUAUUCAAAAUCAUGAAGUAGGUAAUUCUUUUAUAAGGUUUGAGUUAUCUAAAGGCAUAUGCUAUAACCUUACUAUGUUUCAUCAACACACUACCAAGGCCAACUCUAGAAGUAUCACAAUAUACCAUGCAACCAUUCAAACCCUCUGGUAGAGUCAAAACUAAAGCAGAGAUGAGUCGAGUCUUUAAUUGAUGAAAACUCUUAUCACAAGAAUCAACCACUGGAAUUUGAUUUUUUUCUAAGUUAGUCUAGACAUGAGAGAGGUAAUAGAGAAAAAACCUUCUACAAAGCAUAUAUAGUAACCAGCUAAACCCAGGAACCUCCUGAUAUCACGAAGAUAUGAGUCUAAACCAGUAUAUUAAUGCUUCUGUCUUUUGAGGAUAAACUUGAAUGUCUUCACUAAAAAUGAUAUGACCAUGGAAUACUACUUAUUUCAACCAUAAUUCACACUUGUAGACUUAGCAAAUAAUUGGUGAUCUUUAAAAUUCUGCAAGACAAUUCUCAAGUGAUCUUCAUAUUUACCCUAACUCUAAGAAUACACGAGGAUGUUAUCUAUGAAGACUAUAAAGAACAUGUCCAAGUUCUUCUUGAACACCCUAUUCAUCAAGUCUAUAAAAGCUAUAAGAGCAUUCGUUAGUACAAAAGACAUAACAACAAAUUUGAAGUGACCAAACGAGUCUUGAAGGUUGUCUUUGGGAUGUCACACUCUCCGACUCUAAGCUAAUGCUAGCCGGAUCUGAGGUCUAUCUUAGAGAAACAGCGUGCACCCUAAUGUUGGUCAAAUAAAUUAUUAAUCUUGAGGAUGGGAUACUUAUUCUUGAUUGUGACUUUGUUCAAUUGAUGAUAGUCAAUGCACAUUCUGAGAGAACCAUCUUUCUUACACAUGAAUUAAACUGGAGAACCCCAUGGAGAGACACUCAGCCUGAUAAAACCUUUGUCUAAGAGAUCUUUCAAUUGCUCUUUUAAUUUCAUAAGUUCGAUUAAGCCAUUCCAUAAUGUGGAAUUUAAAUAGGCUGGGUAUCUUGAAGGAGAUCUAUUUCGACGUUAAUUUCCCUCUCGAGAGGAACUACAGGAAGACCUUUAGGAAAAUUUUCAAGAAAUUCCUACACUAUUGGAACUGACACAAAACUCAGAAUUUUAGAACUUAAGUCUUUGACUCAGACAAGAUAAUAGAUGGACCCCUUGGAAAUUAUUUUCCUUUCCUUAAAGAAAGAGACAGACAAACCUAUAGGUGCUGAAGUGCUACCCCUCCAUUCUAGAACUGGCUCAUUGAGGAAAAACUAAACUAUUUUGUGUCUACAUUCAACUGAGGCAUAGCAAGAGUGGAGCCAAUUCAUGCCAAGAAUAACAUCAAAAUCAGUCAUGUAUAACUCCACAAGAUUGAUUAAAGUGACUUUUUGGGAUACUAUGACUGCGCAAUUUUUGUAUACCUGUCUGGCUGUGAUUGAACUAUAGACUGGGGUAGAAAUUGAGAAAGGUUCUGUAAGGAUUUUAGGGCUGACACCAAAAUCUACUUCUAUAUAGGGAGUCACAAAGGAAAGUGUGGCUCCGAGAUCUAAUAAUGCAUAUACAUGAAAGUGAAAUACAUGUAACAUAAAAGUAUCCAUAUCAGGAGAACCAUCCUGAUCUAUUCGAGUAUAAAAGGAAUAAAGCCUAUUCUGGCGUUGCCCACUGGUUGCAAUAGAGAUGGCACCCUGCUGACCUAUUAAAGUUGCCAAAGAAUUUGUCUGACCCUGCUAACGAACAUCCUUACCCUUAUAUGCAACCACUAGGAACUCUCUUAUCCUGUGUGCUAUAUAUAGUUUUGAUGAUGAGUAACUAACUACAAAAGACUAGGUCCCUGGAUAUUCGUGGUAUAGUACAGUUGGCAUGCAUAACUACAUAGUUUUUCCUCUUAUGUAACAAACUUGCAGGUGUUUCUUGUACUAAUUAGGAUAGCUAGUCCGAUGAUAGUUCAACCCUAAUCAUCACUCAUCUUUAAAAGGAAAAAGAAGACUCUUUAUCAAAUGGUUUUUGGAAAAUUACAAAGAGUGAAGAAAGGCAACAAAAACCCUAUUUCCACACUGCUCAAAUUCUUAGCUAAUUAUGUAUGCUUAAGUGGAAAUUGUUCUUGAGUUAGUACUAAUUUUUAAUUGAACUUUUCAUGCUAUAAGAGUAGUGUUUUCAUUUGUUGAGAGAUGUGCUUAGGUAGAGUUGCCUAAAUUUGAUACUGGUUAGAGUUAAUCAGUGAAGAAAGUCCUUGACAGAGUUUCUAAGAUGAGCUUGUUGUAUAGUUCUUAUAAGUGAAAGGAACCUGGAAUUAGGUUCAUUGAAGAAUGUAAUCAAGAGUUUGAUUAUAGUUGAAUUAGAGGUGAUUGUGAGGGUAAGCCAUAGGUUUUUCCUUCCUUGAGUAAGGGGGUUUCCACGUUAAAUUUUAUGUGUUGCUACUUUCCUACACUUCAUAGUAACUUUACUGUUCUAUCGCUUGUAACUGACUUUGAGGGACCUGGCCCCUAACUAUGUUUUGCAACCCCCAAGGGUUCCAAUAAUUGGUAUCAGAGCGGGCUCACUCUAAAAGGUUCAUACCUAAACUAUUUUGGACAGCAUAGCUACUAUAACUAAACUUCGAUUGGAAAGAAAGGAAGCAAAAAAAGAGAUAUUCCUGACCUUGAAGGCUUUAGAGAAUGAUCCAAGUAAAGAAGACACUGAUGUUACUCUUUUGGCAAUAAAAAUUGUUAGAGCUAUUAAAAGGGGUGGUCAUCUUAUCAAAAGAAAUGAUAAGAUUGAAGGUUGUCACAAAGAUGGUAGCUCUAAGGCAUUCAUAAAAAACUUCCAAACGUAAAAGAAUGAUCAAAAUCCUGAAAAAUCAAAAAUAAAUAAUGUAGCUAGUGGUAUAACAAAAAAGGUGUUGGCUACAUGGGAAGACUCCUCAAAUAAAUCUGUGAAAUACAAGAAGGAUAGAGAUGGUUUCAUCCUAAAGCAUGGUGAGAAGAAAAUAAGCUUAGGAUCCUAUAGCUCUUUAAUGGCCACAACUGAAAAUAGAGAAGAAAAUAAGGUAGAAAAGGAGGAUGACAACAAAAAUUGGUUAUGGAUAGUGUUUGUUCUAGACACAUGACUGGGAGGGUUGAUUGUUUUCUCUCUCGCUAGGAACUUCAAGGGGGAGGUGUGUCUUUUGGAAAUGGAAAAAAGGGUUACAUCUAAGGUAUUGGAAAGAUUAAAAAAUCACCUCAUCAUGCAAUAGAAGAUAUGUAUUAUGUGAAUGGGCUAACGUACAGUUUUCUAAGUGUAUCUCAAAUCCAUGACAAAGGAAAUGAGGUAAAAUUAUCAUCUGUAGUUGAACUAUACCAAGCAUGAAAUUUGGAAAGAUUAUUGUUAAAUACAAAAGUCAAGAAUAUAUAUGUAGCUGAUCUAGAGUCUGUGGCUGAUGGUGAAUUAACUUGUUUUAGGGUAAAAGGUGAAAAUACUAAUUACUAGCACAAAAGAUUAGGGCAUGUGAGUUUCUUCUUUUAAAAAAGCUGACUUCAAGGGACCUGGGCCGUGGCCUGCCAAGCUAAAAUUUCCAGACAACAAAGUCUGUGAUGCUUGUUUUAAAGUUAAAUAGACCAGAUCUUCCUUCAAAUUGAAGAAACAAUUAAGUACUUCCAGAUCUCUUAAAAUACUCUACAUGGAUUUAUGUGGACCUAUUAAUGUCCAAAGUAAAGGAGGGAAGAUGUAACGACCCAAAACCACCUCCUGGGACAUCACACGGUUCUUAGGGCUACAAGUAGCCCCAAGCUAACCCUUUGAGCCUAUCACUUCUCAUAAUAACUCUUUCAAGAAGAAAUAUACAAAACAAUGGCACUGUCAUGUCAAAUGAAAGGAAAUACAAAGGUAAUACUCGGUCCAAAUGACCGCAAUACUGGAAAUCUCAACACAACCACAGUCUGAUAACUAGUCUGACAAAGCCUCUAUUACUCCAUGAACUCCAGAGACGUUGGGACGGGUCCCCAACUGACUCAAACUGAACUGAAAGUAAUAAUAUAUACACUCGAAUACUGAAAUAUCUAAAGAUAGGUCCUCAAACCAUGAGGACUCACCACUGUAGAAAUCUAGACGAAGGUACUCGAGAAUUACUGACGAGGCUGGGACUGAGCACCAGAACAUAUAUUAUAAUAAAAUAUAGCACAUAGAUGUAUAUGUGGAUCAGCACUUGGGAAUGUACUGAGUAUAUGGAGGUGUAUGCAUUUAUAUAAAACAAUAUCAAUACUCUUUAAUCAAAUCAUACAUGCAAAUAGGAAUGACUCACGUGGCUUGAAUAAGUCUAAAAUGUAAAACUCAUAAAUCAUGUAGAAUGAAGCAUGUAACACAAAUCUCGUGAGUCAUUAUACCUAGGCUUUAAAAUCUAUGCUCUCCUUUUAGUCUCAUUACUCAUAGGAUGCAGGAAGCUUUAAACAAUUCUUUAAACUCAUGCAUAUGUCUCAUGGAGAGUAAAACUUCUUUAUUGCUCAAGAACUUAUAACUCUUUUGAACUCAAACAUUUGGAACUCGGAAUCAUAUGACUUUGGUUUAAAACUGAUGAUCAACUAUUAUUAGUAGAGAAAACUACUUCCUUCUUUGGAAAAUACUCAAAAGCAAUUCGUUCACUUUAGAAAAUACCUAAUCUCAAAUCUUUAGGGAAAAUAGUCUAUCUCAAUGGAAAAUACUUUAAUUUUGGGAGGUUAUCUUAACCGACAGAAACCAUGCAAGCUACAUGGAGUCCAGCGUCUUGUCCUCCUAAGAAAGAAACAUAACGUUAGACAGAGGCAUCAUACUCUUACCAAGGAGUAUAACCUCAACUCAAUGAUCACUUAUCUCGGCCUCCGGUCCAAUCAUCUGGGCCGCAGGCCCAAAAUCUCAAACCUACGAUGACACGUAGUUCUGGGGUAAGAAAUCGUGGUAACUUACCCAACUCGAUGCUAAAUACUACUCCCUUUAGUUUAUCUCUUUCAUCUCAUGGAAAUAUACUUUCAAAAUAAUCUCAUGGUUCAUAAGAACCCAAUAAUCAAAUCUGUAAUCUCAUGUGGUAGAGUGGAUUUUAAAACUCUAUGACCAUUAGGUCAAAACAUUUCUCAUUAAUCUCAAAAUACUUAAAUCAUGGGUGCUUAUAGCACAAUAGUUCAUAAAAUUUCUAGUCUCUAGUAGGGCUUAAUGACCCAUAAUUCAAUCUCAAGUUAAAACUCAUCAUAAUGCAUAAUAGAUAGCAUAUAGAUUCAUAAUUCAUGUAGAAGUCUGGAAAUUACAACAAUUUGUCCCAUAAUAUCAACAUACUCAUAUACUUCAAUUUCUAGAAUAUUGAAACUCUUAAAUUCUCAAGGAGUAACAACAUAAGGUAUAAACCCAGCUUCAAUUUCUUAAGAAAACAUGCAAAAUCAUACUAUUUGACUUUCAAUUCAUGGAAACAUCAAGAUAUUGCAAUCAAUAAUAAUGGGUGAAAAACCCUAAUUCAAUAUCAUGUAAAAUCUCAUAGAUUGCAGAAAAUUAUAGUUUAAAUAAGCUUUUGGGCACAAGGGUGAAAGGAUUACCCUUGUUCAAAACCCCACAUACCUUAGAUUAUGAAAUUGGAAGAACAAGCUUGCUUCAAACUCUUGUUUUUACUCUUGAGAGAAGGUUCUUGAAACCAGUAAACUUUGGGAACUUAAAUCUCAACUCAAUUUGUAGAAUCUAUGGUGAGUUCUUGAAUUUCUUGGAGAAGGGUUUUAGAUUUGAUCUUGAGGGAGAAACCCUAGCUCUCUUGUGUUUUGGAUGAUGAAUGAAAUCAUUUGCUUUGUUUGGAAUAUAUCUGGUUGAUAAAAGAGUGAAAAAUUCCAAAAAGUCCCUUUUAAAAACAACUUAAAAUACCGAACGGGGGCUGCGAUGGUCAAAGCAACGGUUCAUCGGAUCAUCCAUCGCACAUCGGUCAGAAAACAACACACUGCCUCAAUGUGACGGUCUCAGCGAUGGUCCAUCAUAAACUCUAUGCUUUGUCGGAUCUUCCAUCGCACGUUGGUCAGGAUGAGGCCAUACUGCCUCAACGGCGAUGGACUCAGCGACGGUCCGUCAAAGUCUUGACAGUGCGUCAUCCUGGCCGUCGUACUUGGGCCAUAAAAGGGAGUUACUACCUUGGUUGCGAAAGUUUGGUAGACGGUCCAUGGCACACUUAACGGUCCGUCAACCUGUCCAUCACACCUGGGAAGUUUCGACAACUCUCGGUAAAAUGGCCAUAACUUCCCACCCCAAUGUCAGAUUUGGACGAAAUUGGUAUCGUUGGAAAGCUAAUUCAAUUCNNNNNNNNNNNNNNNNNNNNNNNNNNNNNNNNNNNNNNNNNAACAUUAAUCACGUGGGAAGUCUCUUCUUAAUCUUUUAGAGCCAGAAUUACACUUCACUUAACACGCUCAAGGCUCAAACUACAAGGGAUCUUUAUGGGAUCUUACAAUAUCUCCCCCUUGGAAACAUUCAUCCUCGAAUGUCGCUAGUUAGACUAGGAACAAAGGAAAAUAGAGUACACAUAGCUGAAGAAAGUUACUAAAUGGGAUCAAAAUCUCUCUAAACUCUUGAAUACCUCAGAAAUUGCAAGAACUCAUGCAAGAAUAGAUAUAUAGUUGAACUAUAUAUUAGAAGGAAGUAGCACCCUCAACUGAUUGGUUCCGCCGUAACACUUUGACCAAGGGAACCUCUUUGUUCCUCAGUCUACGGAUCUGAAAAUCUAGGAUCUCAAUAGGAAUCUUAUCAAAGGAAAGACUGUUCUAAAUAUCAAUACUCUGAAAGGUCUACUACAACGGAAUCACUAAUAUUAUUCUUAAGCAUAGAGACAUGUAACACAGGAUGAACGACUGACAACUCCGCAAGCAACUCAACCUCAUAGGCUACUUUUCCAACACGGCUCAAAACUCUAUACGGGCCAACAUAACUGGGACUCCGCUUUCCUUUCUUACCAAACCUCUUCCCCUUUCGUGGGUGAAAUCUUCAAGUAUACCAAAUCAGCCACUGCAAACUCAAGAUCUCUUCUCCUCACAUCGGCAUAAGACUUUUGAUGACUUUGGGUUGUCUUUAAUCUCUCCCUAAUCAACUUAACUUUCUCUAUGGAUUCAAACACUGCAUCAGGCCUAAUUAUGGCAGCUUCACCAACUUCAAACCAACCUAUGGGUGAUCUAUAUCUCCUACCAUACAAGGCCUUAAAUGGUGCCAUCCUGAUUCUAGCAUGGUAACUAUUGUUAUAGGCGAACUCUAUCAAUGGCAAAUGCUCAUCCCAACUACCUUUGAAAUCAAGAGCACAUGCCCUCAACAUAUCUUCUAUAUUUUGAAUAGUCCUCUCAGCCUAACCAUCUGUCUACUGAUUAAAAGUGGAACUCAAAAGAACUUGGGUACCAAGACCCUGUUGAAAUGCCCUCCAAAACUGAGAAGUAAAUUAAGUGCGGCUAUUCGAAAUGAUAAACAAGGAAAAUCUGUGCAGCCUGACUAACUUUUGGAUAUACAAUCUAGCAUAAUCCUCCGCUGUAUAAGAUGUAUGCACAGGCAAGAAGUGCACGGACUUAGUCAGCCUAUCUACAACAACCCAAAUAGAAUCAUGUUGAUGAUGCAAAAGAGGUAACCCGAUCAUGAAGUCCAUAUUUACUACCUCACACUUCCAAAUGGGUAUACCAAACUCUUGUAUCACACCACCAGGUCUUUGGUACUCUACCUUAAUCGGUUGGCACAUUGCACACUUCGCUACAACCUCAGCUAUAUCCUUCGUCAUACCAUUCCACAAAUAGAUUUGUUGCAAGUUACAGUACAUCUUAGUAGUGCCGGGAUGAAUAGAAUAUCGCCUACCAUGUGCUUCAACCAUAAUUCUCUGCCUCAGAUCAUCAAUACAUGGAACGUACAAUCUACCCUGCAAUCUCAACACACCAUCUCCCCCUUGGGAUAAAACCUUUACCUUUUGGUCCUUAACUGUCUCUUUCAGUUUGACCAAACUAGGAUCUCUAUCUUGCUUCUCACUCACUUCUAAAACUAAAGAGGAUUCAGAACUACUUUGCACCAAAGUACUUACCUCAUCUGAAUCAAGCAACCUAACACCCAAUAUAGCCAGACAAUGCACAUCAUGAGCUAACUCUUUCUUAGCUUCCGCUACAUGAGCAACACUACCCAUAGACAAUCUACUAAGGGCAUCCACUACUAUAUUGGCCUUGCCCGAGUGAUACAACACACUCAUAUCAUAGUCUUUUAACAACUCUAGUCACUUCAUCUGCCUAAGAUUUAACUCCCUCUGAGUAAACACAUUAACAUGAACACCAUAAAAAUAGUGUCUCUAAAUUUUCAAAGCAAAGACCACAGCAGCUAACUCAAGAUCAUGGGUUGGGUAAUUCUUCUCAUGUAGAUUUAACUACCUAGAGGCAUAGGCUAUAGCCUUACCUCAUUGCAUCUACACACAACCUACACCAACUCUUGAGGCAUCACAAUACACCACAAAACCAUCUGUACCAUCAAGCAAAGUCAACACAGGGGCUAAAGUAAGUCGAGUCUUCAACUCCUGAAAACUCUUCUCACAAGAAUCUAACCAUCGGAACUUAACUUUCUUUUGGGUCAACCGGGUCAUGGGAGAUGCAAUAGAAGAGAAACCUUUAACAAAAUGGUGAUAAUAGCCCAUUAGACCCAAGAAAAUUCUAAUGUCAGAUGGAGAGAUAGGUCUAGGCCAAUUUCUUACAGCUUCUAUCUUUUGGGGAUCAACUUUAAUACCUUUGGCUGAAAUAAUAUGAUCGAGAAAGGCUACAGACCUUAGCCCAAAUUCAUACUUACUGAAUUUGGCGAACAACGGGUGACCUCUAAGAGUUUCCAAGACAAUUCUAAGGUGAUCUGUAUGGUCAUUCUCAGUAUAUGAGUACACAAAGAUAUCAUCAGUGAACACUAUGAUAAACAUAUCAAGAUAUUGCUUGAACACUCGAUUCAUGAGGUCCAUAAAAGCUGAUGGGGCAUUAGUCAGCCCAAAAGACAUGACUAGAAACACAAAGUGACCAUAGAGGUUUUGAAAGGUUGUCUUUGGAAUAUCACAUUCCUUCACUUUAAGUUGAUGAUAGCCGGAUCUAAGGUCUAUCUUGGUGAAAUAACUUUCCCCUUGCAACUUAUCAAAUAGGUCAUCAAUUCUCGAAAGAAGAUACUUAUUUUUUACUAUGACUUUGUUAGUUGAUGAUAGUUAAUGCACAUACGCAAAGAACUAUCUUUCUUCCACACGAAUUGAAUAGGUGCGCCCCAAGGAGAAAUAUUGGGCCUUAUGAAACCUUUGUCUAAAAGAUCUUUGAGUUGCUCUUUCAACUCCUUAAGAUCAGUAGGUGCCAUAUGGUAUGGCGGAAUAGAAAUGGGAUUAGUGUCGGGAAGAAGGUCAAUCUCGAAUUCUAUCUCUCUAUUGGGAGGUAUCCCUCGAAGAUCUUUUGGAAAACAUCUGGAAACUCAUUACCAAUAUCGACUAAUUGAAUAAUUGGAGACUCAAACUUUAUGUCUUUGAAUCUAACUAGGUGAUAGAUGCAACCCUUGGAUAUUAGCUUUUUGGCUUUGAGAUAGGAGAUAAAAUGACUCUUGGGAGAUACCAAACUCCUGGACCACUCAAAAACUGGUUUAUCGAGGAACUGAAAAUUGACCACACAGUUAUUAAAGUCUAUAGAUGCAUAACAAGAAUGAAGCCAAUUCAUACCCAGAAUAAGGUCAAAAUCCACCAUGUCUAACUAUAUCAAAUCAGCAAGUAUGACUCUAUAAAGAAUAGUAACAAAACCAUCUCUAUACACUUGUUUAGCAAUAACUGACUCUCUUACUGGUGUGGAGACUAGGAAAGGCUCAGGAAUCUUUGCAAGACUUAUUUUGAAAUUCACAACCACAAGUGGGGUCACAUAGAAGAGACUUGACCCAGGGUCCAACAAUGCAUAAACAUAAAAAAAAAGAUGUGGAGUAUACCAGUAACAACAUCGGGAGAGUCCUCCUAUUCUUGAUGGGAUGGUAAGGUAUAGAAUCUAAUCUAGCGCUGACUGGAAACAGUGCUAGGUGAAGCGUCCUAAACAAGGGCGGGAUAAAGGACAUGAGCUGGUGUACUAGUAGUCUGUGCCUGAGGUCAGGCAUCUCUGGUCUCCUACCUAGCAUUCAAAUAAUCUAUAAUUCUGUGGCCUUGCUUACCACAACCAAAAAACCCCUCAAAUCUGUAAAAUACUCACCGAGAUGAUCCCUACCACACUUAGCACAAGGAGGAUAAUAGUGCUUGUUAAUAACACUGUUAUGCGACCUAGACAUAAAAGACCUGCUCCCUUGCUCUUGCCUGUCUUUAGGCAUGGAAGCACUAGCCGAUGAAGGCGCUGGAAUAGACGAACGUCUCUGAAACUGAGGGCAGUUUCCUCUAUGGAACCUAGGCUGAAUAUACUCAUGCUACUCAGAUCUAGCCCUCUUGUUACCCCUUACUUUAUCUCUUUCUCUAAUAUUAUCCGUCUCUAUCUGCUGUGUAUAUGUCAUCAACCUAGACAGAUCCAUAUCCUUAAGUAACAUCAUAGUCCUACCCUCUUUCAGCACCAAACUAGAAACACCUGCCAUGAACUUGCUCAUACUAGUUUGGGUGUCAGAAAUCAAAUCAGGAGCAUACUUAGCCAACUGGUUGAACUUCAAGUAGUACUCUUUAACAGUCAUGGAGCCCUGCCCAAGUUCAUAAACUCCUUAAUCUUUGGUUCCCUCAUCUCAAGCUAAAAGAACUUGUACAAUAAUGCAUCUCGAAACACAUGCCAUGUCAUAGGAGAAGCAACCUCACCUCUACCUUUCCUCCAUAAUACAACCCAGUUAUAAGCUAUGUCCUUCAACCUAUAAGAUGCCAACUCAACACUUUAUUCCUCAAAAACAUGUAUCACCUACGUGAUCUUUCUUAGCUCGUCAAGGUACAACUGUGGGUCCUCACCAGCCUUGGACCCAUAAAACUCUGGAGGAUUUAUCUAUAUAAAAUCAUGGAUCGUAGAAAUAGCUACAUCACCUCCCUACUGAUUUACAACUGUGGCUUAGUUAUUGGCCCAAAAAUUAGCAGUGACUACUUGGGUUAACGCCUAAAAGGCCACUUGAAACUCAACAUGAGACAGUCUCAUUCAAAGGAUCAAUAGGUGGGGGUUGCUCAUUAUCAUUUCCGCAGGCAUUCGCCCUUCAAAGAGGAAUUUUCUAAAAUAAGAAAGCACGAAUUAUUAGAUGAGAGGGACAACUGGAGACAUGAUAGAAUCUGAAAGAAAGAAACAACUUUUUCCUAAAAUGUCUUGUCAGACUCCCUAGAACUCCUUUAAAAUCUUAGUCUUUGAUACCAAGUUUGUAACAACCCAAAAUCACCUCCUGGGACAACACACGGUGCUUAGGGAUACAAGUAACCCCAAGCUAACCCUUUGAGCCUAUCACUACUCAUAAUAACUCAUUCAAGAAGAAAUAUACAAAACACUGGCACUGUCAUAUCAAAUGAAAGAUAAUGCAAAGGUAAUACUCAUCUAAAUAACGACAAUACUAGAAAUCUCAACACAACCACAGUUUGAUAACUAGUCAGACAAAGUAUCUAUUAAUCCAUGAACUCAAGAGACAUUGGGAUAGGUCCCCAACUGACUUAAACUAAACUAAAAAGUAAUAAUAUAAACUCUCGAAUACUGAAAUAUCUGAAGAUAGGUCCUUGAAAUAUGAGGACUCACCACAAUAGAAAUGAAGACGAAGGUACUCGGGAAUCACUAACGAGGCUGGGACUAAGCACCUAAACCUACAUUAUAAGACAAUAUAGCACAUAGACGUAUAUGUGGAUCAACACUUUAAUCAAAUCAUACAUGCAAAUAGGAAUGACUCACAUCGGUUGAAUAAGUCUAAAAUGUAAAGCUCAUAAAUCAUGUAGAAUGAAGCAUGUAACACAAAUCUCAUGAGUCAUUAUACUUGGGCUUUAAAAUUUAUGCUCUCCUCUUAUUCUCAUUACUCAUAGGAUGAAAGAAGCUUUAAGCAAUACUUUCAACUCAUUCAUAUAUCUCAUGAAGAGUAAAACUUCUUUAUUGCUCAAGAAUUUAGAACUCUUUUGAACUCAAAAUCAUAUGACUUUGGUCUAAAAACUAAUGAUCAACUCUUAUUAGUAGAGAAAACUACUUAUUUCUUGGGAAAAUACUCAAAAGCAAUUCGUUCACUUUAGAAAAUAUCUCAUCUCAAAGAUUUAGGUAAAAUAUUCUAUCUCAAUGCAAAAUACUUUAAUUUUGGGAGGUUCUCUUAACUGACAUAAACCAUGCAAGCUACAUGGAGUCUAAUGUCUUUUCUUUCUAAGUAAGAAACCUCAGGUUGGGGAGAGGCAUCAUAAACUUGUCAAGGAGUAUAACCUCAACUCAGUGAUCAUUUAUCUCGUCCUCGGGCCCAAUCAUCAUGACCUCAGGCCCAAAAUCUCAAACCUACAGUGAGACAUAGUUCUAGGGUAAGAAUCCAUGGUAACUUACCCAACUCAGUGUUAAAUACUACUCUCUUUAGUUUAUUUCGUUCAUCUCAUGGAAAUCCACUUUCAAAAUAAUCUCAUGGAUUAUAAGAACCCAAUAAUCAAAUCUGUAAUCUGAUGUGGUAGAGCAGAUUUCAAAACUCUAUGACCAUUAGGUCAAAAUAUUUCUCAUUAAUCUCAAAAUACUCAAAUCAUGGGUGCUUAUAGCACAAUAGUUCAGAAAAUUGCAAGUCUCAAAUAGGGCUUAGUGACCCAUAAUUUAAUCUCAAGUUAAAACUCAUCUUAAUGCAUAAUAGAUAGCAUAUAGAUUCAUAAUUCAUGUAGAAAUAUGGAAGUUACAACAAUUUGUCUUAGAAUAUCAACAUACUCAUAUUUCAAUUUUUAGAACAUUAAAACUCUUAAAUUCUCAAGGAGUAACAACAUAGGGUAUAAACCCAGCUUGAAUUUCUUAAGAAAAUAUGCAAAAUCAUGCUAUUUGACUUUCAAUUCAUGGGAAACAUCAAGAUAUUACAAUCAAUAACAAUUGGUGAGAAACCCUAAUUCAACAUCAUGUAAAAUCUCAUAGAUUGUAGAAAAUUAUAGUUAAAAUAUGCUUUUGGGCACAAGGGUGAAAGAAUUACCCUUGUUCAAAACCCCACAUACCUUAGAUUAUGAAAUUAGAUGAACAAGAUUUCUUCAAACUCUUCUUCUUACUCUUGAUAGAAGGUUCUUGCAACCCUCGAACUUUGGGAACUUAAAUCUCAACUCAAUUUGUUGAAUCUAUGGUGAGUUCUUAAAUUUCUUGAAGAAGGAUUUUAGAUUUAAUCUUCAGGGAGAAACCCUAGCUCUAUUGUGUUUUGGAUGAUAAAUGAAGUCAUUUGCUUUGUUUGGAAUAUAUCUGGUUGAUAAAAUAGUGGAAAAAAACCAAAAAGUCCCUUUUAAAAAUGACUUAAAAUACUGAACGAGGGUUGCGAUGGUCGAAUCGAUGGUCUGUUGCUAGCCUGACGGUCCGUCGGAUCGUCCAUUGUAUGUCGGUUAGAAAAAUAACAUACUGCCUUAAUGUGAUGGUCUCAGUGACUGUCCGUAGAAAAACUCGACGGUCCGUUGGAUCAUCUGUCGCACGUUCUCCAGGAUGAGGCCACACUGCCUCAACAUGACGGUGUCAAUGACGGUCUGCCAAAGUCUUGAUGGUCCAUCAUCCUAGCCAUAGAACUUUGGCCAGAAAAGGGUGUUACUGCUUGGUUGCGAUGGUCCAUCAACCUGUCCAUUGCACCUAGGCAGUUCCAACAACUCUCGAUAAAACGACCAUAACUUCCCACCCUGAUGCUGGAUUUAGAUAAAAUUGGUAUCGUUGGAAAGCUUAUUCAUUUCCCUACCCUAUAGGAAGUCAUUUUUAGAAAAAUUAAUCCAUAUUAAAAUACUAAUCACUUAGGAAGUCUCUAAUCAAUCUUUUAAGGUUGGAACUACACUUCAUUUUGACACACUCAAGGCUCAAACUACAAGGGAGCUUUGUGAGGUCUUACAGAAGAAAUAUGUGUUGAUUAUUUUGAAUGACUACUUCAGGUUUACCUGUAUAAUAUUUAUAAGAACAAAGGAUGAAAAAUAUGGGGUAUUGUGGCUUUUUCCAAGAAAAUCCAAGUGAAGCUAAAUUGAAAAAUUGUUGAAUUUAGGUCUGACCAUGGUACUGAAUUUGAGAAUUCUUAAGUGGAUGAAUUUUGUGAUGAGCAUAGAAUAAGUCACAACUUUUCUGCUCCUAGAACUCCACAACAAAAUGGAGUUGUUGAAAGGAAAAAUAGAACAUUGACAGAGAUUGCUAAACUAUGCUAAUUGAUUGUAGACUUCCAAAGAGUUAUAGAAGUGAAGCAGUAAAUAUUGCUUGUUAUGUGACGAAUAGGUGUGUGAUUAGAUCACUUUUGAAUAAGACUCCAUAUGAAUUGGUAUUCAGUAGAAAUCCUAAGCUAUACUAUUUCAGACCAUUUGGAUGCAAAUGCUUUGUUGUAAACAAAGAUAUCUAGAUUUAGAAAUCAAUAUCAUGUUAGUUAUUUAACGUCAGAAUUCAAUCGGGCAGUACUAGUGAGUUCCUAAAUUUUAAAACUACUCAAAGUUUUAGUUGGAAAUUUGCUCAUCGUGUCCAUAUUCAGCUCUUAAAAUGCUAUGUUAGGGACUACAUCCCUUUUCUUAUCCUUUUAACAGAAUCAGUCUUUAUUCAAGGACAAAUGACCACAAUAGGGAGCUAUUAAAACACCCCAAAAAUCCAAGAAAAUAUUAGAAUGUUGCUUCAAGUAUAUGAAGAAUCAAAAAUCUUUGUUUGGUAGUUCUAUUAGUGAUUUAAAUACAUGUUAAGGUCACAAAUAGCUCCUAGCUUAUAGAAAAGUCAAAACAUCCCAUAGCGAUAAAAUUCUUGUGAAGAAUAUAAAUAUAGUCAGCUUCAAAAGAGCUUAAUUUUUGGAUUACUAAGAAUAUUUAUCCUCAUACUCACCAUCAAAUAGAUAAUUGAAUUAGCUUUCCAACUCCACCAAUUUUUCCUUAAUCUGAUAUCAAAGUAAAACAGUUAUGGCCAAAUUACUGAAGCACAGUGAAAGCUGCCACUGACAAUGACUCAUUAUCAGAUUUAACAGGUCAUCAGAGGGAGUCAUUGCAAUGGCAGUAGGGCUGAAUUCCAUUGACCAAGACUUAAGAAACGAUUGUGGCCUGACCUAAUAAGUCAUUUCAAGAGCUUCUGUACUAGUUCCAAGAGUUUUUCCAGACAAUUUUUAAGGUGUUGUUUGGUCUUUUCCCUCUUUUUAACCCUAAAACUACAACGUUUAAGCUAUUCUAAGGCUAAAUAUUGAAACACCCCAUAAAAUUCCCAAGUCCUUAGAAAUUCUAAAGCAUGACAAGAAAAGCCUAACACUUAGAAAAUUUGGCUAAGUGUUGAAAGUUUUCCAUUCCAUAAGCCUUUGAAACAUUGAUGAAUUAUUUCAUGACCAUACCGACCUCCAAUUUUUGAUUUUCUUGUUUCGUUGCAAUGAGGCAAGUCAAGAGUACAUCCUGAGUAAGUUUUGGAAUUUUUAGAUGAGCCUAAGGUCAUGUUUGGGUUGGAAAAAUAGUAGCUAGAGGCUACAGAGAGGCUCCGCCCAGCUUAGAUCCUUGGCCCCCUCUCUCACUAGCAAGGUGCCACCCAGCCUACAAAAGGCUCUAGGAAAGGCGCCGCCUUUCCAUAGCUCUUGUGCCUAGUUUUUCAGCAUUUCACUUCUGUGUUUCCAAGGGAAAUUUGGUCAAAUCCCACCACUAUAUAAGCUUCCUUAACAUGAGAUUCAAUAUUUUUUCACCUAAAAUAUAAGGUUUUCUCUUAAUUUUCCUCAAUAUCAAGAAUAAGGGUUUCUAUCGAAGGUUCAAAAUCAAGAAAAUUCCUCCGUGAAUCUUUCAAGAAUCAUAUAGCAAGGUAUGUUGGAUGUUCAUUCUUUGGUUCCUUCCACCCAAGAAUUCCAAGAAUCCCUUUUUAAAUUUAAGAUUUUAUGUUUAUGAGUUUUUCAUGAUUUAUAUGGUUUGAAGUUGAAGUCCAUGUUAAUAUUAAGUUUUAAUUCAUGUUGUGAUAAAAAAAGAUGCAAGUAUUGACUUAGUAUGUGUUGGUUAUGUGAUGUUCAUGAUAAAGUCCCUUCAAGAAACAUGUUGAAUUAUAUAAUUAUGUUAAUUUGGUGUAUAGAAUGUUGUAUGGCCAAAGGUUGCCUCCCACAUGUUUGAUAAAUUACUUAUGUGAAGAAAAUAGUGUCAUUGCAAAAUGAAGUAUGUUAUUCCCAAGCAUAUGUCAACUAGUACAUGCUAAGUGUUUGUUAAAAGUCCUAAAUAAAUGAAUUAUAAUAUGUUGCAUCUAUUCUUAUUCAUGUGAAUUCCUUGUUGGAUGAGUUAUGAGACAAUAGCAUGCUUCUCUUUGCAAUUACAUGUUUAAGAUUCUCAAGUGCUCAAAAUGAUGCUUCAUUGGUUAUGUUGCGAAUAAUAGUCUAUGGUCAUGUCUUAUUUAUUUACGCUAUCGAGAGUCCUGGGGUAUUUAAUACCCAAAAACUUAGCUGCUUGUCUAGAGCCGAGUCAGUCUCAAGAUAAUCUCAGUCGUGCUAUGAUCAGUAUAUCUUAAUUAGUGACAGAAGUUAAGAAAACUUAGCAAUCUCAGUAUUCAGUCUAACCAAGUUCAGUAUUUAGUUCAGACCUUAGUAGUAUUCUAUCAGUCAAUGGAACCAAGUGAACUCAGUCAGAUCAGUCAAGUAAGAUAAUUAGUACCAGAUUAAGCUUAGUAUAGUAUGAUCUAAGAAUUAGUUUAGUGUCUAUUCAGUUGGGAGUAAGAUUCAGCGUUGAGUGAGGGCAGGCAGUGAUGACAUCUUCCAUGUUAUUUUAGGCAAAUCAUUAAUAACAAUCUCUACACUCCAGAACUGUGUAGCCAUCGCAGGAUGAGGAGGUACCCAUCAUAUUAGGCUUGACUACCUCCCCAUAGUCACCUGUUAUAUUAGGAUUGGCUCCAAUAAGGUGUCACUCGUUAUAUUAGUCUUGGCAUAUUGGGUUCAGAUAGAUGUGUCUUUACCUGUGGCACGAUAUUAGUACCCUUCCAAUUAGGGUUACAAAUUGGAUCUUAACUAGAUAGAAGGGGCACGUCGGUUAGAUUACUACCUCCCACAGUUUUAGUUUCAAUUUCUGUCUCAGUACUAGAACUCAGUUAAGGAGUCACCCAUUAUACUAGGCUUGACUACCUCUUAGAGGUCACCUAUUAUAUAGGCUUGAUCUCAAAUUUAGAAAAUCAUUAUCAUUAUCAGUAAACUUAGAUAUCACCCAUUAUUUAGGCUUGAUCUCAUAUUCAGUUAAUCAAGUAUUAGACAUUAUCAUCAGUAGAUUCAGAAAUCACUCAUUAUUUAGGCUUGAUCUCAUAUUCAGUUAACUAAGUAUCAAACACUAUUAGCAGCAAACUUAGAGCUCACUUGUUAUAUAGGCUUGAUCUCAGAUAUGGUAACUCAUUAUCAGUAUCACUAAGCUUAAACAUCAAUCUCAGUAGUCUCAGUUACUCAAUAUCCCUAAGUUAGUGAACUCAGAUAUUAGUACUACUAGACUCAGUCAUCAGUAAGUCAGUAUUCAGAAACCCGUAUUUUAGAAUCUAGUAUUAGUAUUACUGCGAUAUAGUUUUAGUAUUUGGUAUUCUCAUUUUAUUCAGUUAAGUAAUUUUCAUGCAUAAGCCCUUGACUCAUCCUUACCUCAUCUAUCAUACCAGUGCAUUCAAAGUACUAACGCAUUCAGCCUUACCUCAUCUAGCAUAGCAGUGCAUUCUUGUUGCAUUAUGAUGGGGCAAAUCUAGAGUACAUCCCAAGUGAGUUUAGAAAUUUUUAGAUGAGCCUAAGGUCAUGUUUGGGAUGGAAAAACAGUAGCAAAAGGCUAUAGAGAGGCGCCGCCCAGCUUAGUGACUUAGCCCCCUCCCUCAAUAGCAAGGCAUCGCCCAGCCUACAAAAGGCUCUGGGAAUGGCGCGUCUUUCCAUAGCUCUUGUGCCCAAUUUUUCAGCAUUUCACUUUCGUGUUUCCAAGGAUGAUUUGGUAAAAUUCCACCCUAAUAUAAGCUUCCUUAACACGAGAUUCAACAUAUUUUCACCCAAAAUAUAAGGUUUUCUCUCAAUUUUCCUAAAGAACAAGAAUUAGGGUUUCUAUUGAAGGUUUAAAAUCAAGGAAAUUCCUCUGUGAAUCUUUCAAGAAUCAUAUAGCAAGGUAUUUUGGAUGUUUAUUCCUGGGUUCCUUCCACCCAAGAAGUCCAAUAAUCCCUUUUUAAAUUCCAGAUUUUAUGUUUAUGAGUUUUUCAGUGGAAGUUGAAGCCCAUGUUAAUAUUCAGUUUUAGUUCAUGUUGUGACCAUAAAGAUGCAAAUAUUGACCUUAGUAUGUAUUGGUUAUGUAAUGUUCAUGAUAAAGGCCCUUCAAGAAAUAUGUUGAAUUAUGUAAUUAUGUUAAUUUGGUGUAUUGAAUAUUGUAUGGCCAAAGGGUGCCUCCCACAUGUUUGAUAAAUUGCUUAUGUGAAGAAAAUAGUAUUAUUGCAACAUGAAGUAUGUUAUUCCCAAGCAUAUGUCAACUAGUACAUGCUAAGAAUUUUUUGAAAGGCCUAAAUGAAUGAAUUAUUAUAUGUUGCAUGUAUUCCUAUUUAUGUGAAUUCCUUGUUGGACGAGUUAUGAGACAAUAGCAUGUUUCCCUUUACAAUUACAUGUUUAAGAUUCCCAAGUACUUGAAAUGAUGCUUCAUUGGUUAUGUUGUGAAUGAUAGUCUAUGAUCACGUCUUAAUUAUUUAUACUAUCGAGUCCUGGGGGUAUUUAAUACCCAAGAACUUAGUUGUUUUUCUAGAGCUGAGUCAGUCUCAAGAUAAUCUCAGUCGUGCUAUGAUCAGUAUAUCUCAAUUAGUGACAGAAGUUAAGAAAACUCAGCAAUCUCAGUAUUCAGUCUAAUCAAGUUUAGUAUUCACUUCAGACCUUAGUAGUAUUCUACCAGUAAAUGGAACCAAGUGAACUCAGUCAGAUCAGUCAAGUAAGAUAAUCAGUACUAGAUUUAGCUUAGUCUAGUAUGAUCUAAGAAUCAGUUCAGUGUUUAUUCAGUUAGGGGCAGGAUUCAGCACCGAGCGAGGGCAGGGAUGACAGUUUCCACAUUAUUUUAGGCAGAGUCGUUAAUAAUAAUCCGUGCACUCUAGAACUUCAUAGCCAGCAUAGGAUGAGGAGUCACCCAUCAUAUUAGGCUUGAUUACCUCCCUAGAGUCACCUGUUAUAUUAGGCUUAGCUCCAACCAGGUGUCACCCGUUAUAUUAGGCUUGGUAUCCUGGGUUCAGAUAGAAGUGUCUUUACUCGUGGCACAGUAUUGGCACCCUUCCAACUGGGGUUACAGGUCAGACCCCAACUAGAUAGAAGGGACAUGUCAGUUAGAUGACUACCUCCUAUAGUUUUGGUUUUAGCUUCAGUCUCAGUAAUAGAACUCAGUUGAGGAGUCACCCGUUAUACUAGUCUUGACUACCUCUUAGAGGUUGCCUGUUAUAUAAGAUUGAUCUCAAAUUUAGACAAUCAUUAUCAUUAUCAGUAAACUUAGAGAUCAGCCGUUAUUUAGGCUUGAUCUCAUAUUCAGUUAAUCAAGUAUCAGACAUUAUCAUCAGUAGAUUCAUAAAUCACCCGUUAUUUAGUCUUGAUCUCAUAUUCAGUUAACGAAGUAUCAAACACUAUCAGCAGUAAACUCAGAGGUCACCCAUUAAAUAGGCUUGAUCUCAUAUAUGAAAACUCAGUAUCAGUAUUAGUAAGAUUAGACAUCAAUCUUAGUAGACUCAGUUACUCAGUAUCCCCAAGUUAGUGAACUCAGAUAUCAGUAAUACUAGACUCAGUUAUCAGUAAGUCAGUAUUUAGAAACUUGUAUUUCAGAAUCUAGCAUUAGUAUUACUGCGAUCUCAGUUUUUAGUUUGUUCAUUCAUGCAUACAUCCCCAUUUGUUAUUGUCAUGUUAUUCAGUUAAGUAAUGUCCAUGCAUAAGCCCUUGCAUUCAGCCUUACCUAAUCUAGCAUACUUGUACAUUCAAAGUACUAACGCAUACUUUUUUCUUACGCUAUGGUGUCUUAUACCAUAGGUUCAAAAGCAUGAGAUCCAAAGCACCCAUAGCAGGCUAGACUCAGUCAGCAGCAGUAGACAUAGUAGUGAGCCUCUUCAUUCGAGGAUGCCUCCUAUUUUAAUUUUAUAUUAGGUUCAGUUUAUUUUCAGUAGACGGAGUUAGUUGGGAACAUGUCCCAUCAACUCCACAUAUCAGACAAUUAGAGGCAUUUCAGACAGAUGUAUCAGUAUUCAGUUUUCAGUUUUGUGUAUUUUAGACAUUUUGAACCUUAGGUCAAGUUUCCGCCAGUUUUCUGUAUUUGUUUUAUUAUAUUAUGCAGUGCUCAGGUACAGAUAUCAGUAGAGGGUUAGCUUGUGGUCCUUCAGGAUCAUGAGUACCGUGUGGUAUUCUGGUUCCAGAAAAUUCGGGCGUUACAAAUAUAAAGCCUAAAAAAUUCCAAAUACCACAUUCUAAUACAACAUAUGAAUUACUCAAGAAAUAUGUGAUUUCUCAAUACUCCAACGCAAGAAAUUAGGGUUCUUCAUCUCCAUAUUCAAAUCCUUAAAAAUUUAAUUCAAGAAUCAAAUGUAAUCAGGUAUGUGGGUAUUCAAUGAGGAUCUCCUUUUAUCCUCAUGACCAAAUUAUGAAUUUUGUUCAUGAAUUUUAUGUCUUCAUAAACAAGGGCUUUACCCAAUUGUUACUCUAAGCUUAAAUUUAAUUUUUCAUGAUAUAUUUGUCACUCAUAAGCAUGUUUUAAUGAUUAUUCAUGGUUUCUUCAGCCCAUAUCAUAUCAUUCAUGCUAUUCUCAAAUCCAUGCAUGUUUUACAUGAUAUUAGUUAAGAUAUUAAGCAUAUGAUUAGUCUAUAUAAGAUUUAUCAAUUUCAAGACUAUUAUGCACUAUUUAUCAUAAUUUUGUGGAUUUAAAUCCAUAUUAGUUGACAUACCAUGUUUUCCCAUGAAACUUAGUAUAUUCACAGACUUUGAAUUAUGAACCCUUAAUAUGUGGUAAAUUUAUAAUUUUAGACUCGUCCUAGGAAAUUUCCCUUUUUUCCUAAUAUGAUCGGCUUUUAAUAUUAUCGUGUACAUUUGAAUUUAUCAAAGUUGGUGGAUUAUGAACACCCGAUACCUAGGGAUUCAUGCAUAAAUCAGUUUACAUGUUAUUGAGCACUUUGGAUUAUCUAUUUUUGAUAUUUCAAUAAUAUAAUCAUAAUAGACAGUAUAGUUUUCAGUGUCAUUUAGUUGGGAGUAGUACUUAGCACCUAAUGAAUGUAGGGGUGAAGGUUAACACAUUAGUUAAGGCUUAAAAACUUUUAUAGAAGUCCCUAGGUUCUAGAAGUAUUAUGCUAUUGUAGGUUAUAAGGGGUCACUCAUUUGGGACAUUAGUUUAGUGGAUCCACGCUAGCCAGUGCUGGUACCCUUAGCAAGGUACUAGCACUCUUCCAACUGGAGUUACAGAUUGGACAACAAUUUGCAUAAAUUGGGGUUUGUCAGUUAUUGUUAGUUCCGAAAGUCCUUAGUUUUUGUUUCAGCUUUAGAUUAUGCAUGAACCUGUAUUCAGUUAUUUAGUUCCAUUUACUACAUGUUUAUACUUGGUCAUUGCAUCAGUUCACAUCCUACAGUUUUAGACCUAGUACUCAUACAUAGCACUCAGUAUAGUUUUACAUCAUAUUCAUCUUUAACUUGUGAUUAGAUAUAGUAGUCAUGCUUCUACCACUUCCUAUUUUACAAAAAUAUUUUAGCUCAUUAUUUAGAAAUUUCACUAUGCCUUACAGUUUUUACGUACAGACAUAUUUUAAAUACACAUUUCAACAAAUGGAAUAUGUUUUCAAUUUUAAUUCUUGUUUUGGUAUUUUCAUGACUAGUGCAUAUCUCACAUACUCAGUACAUUCCAAAGUACUUAUUUCAUACCUCUUCUACCUGCCUUCUUCAUGUAAUAUAGAUUAAGGUUCUUACACUCACGAUCAUAAUCAGACAUAUCAGAGCUUUCAGCUAGCAGGUGGUUCUCUUAUUUCAAGGACUCAAGUCAAUUACGGUUCUUAUACUUUAUAUUCUUAUUCUUAUAUGCUGAUUUGGGAUAGCUGGGGUCACAUUCCGACUGCCUAUAGUCAGUAUUAGUAGAGGCUUCAUAGAUAGUUAGUUAGAGUUAUUGAAAUCAAUUUCUCUUUCUUUUUAGAAUAUAGAUAUUGUAAAUAAACUUUCCAAUAGUAUAUGUAUGGAAAUAACUUUCCUCAUGAUUAUGUUUCUAUUCAGUCAAUUAGCUUUUAUAUAUGUUUUAAUCAGUUGCUCAAGCAUUGUGCCAGUAUCAUAGGUUAGCUUGGGAUCACUUAUGGUUCUAAGAAUCAUGUUAUGACUAGGAAUAGUCUUAGGUUGUGACAAACAUUGUAUCACAACACAAGGUUCAAGUGUCCUAGGGUAUCUAUGAAGCAGUGUCUAGUAAAGACUUGCGGAGGUACGCAGGCGUCUAUUCUUUUUUUUCAAAAAGUUAUAAAGCAUUUCAGAAAUGUUUUCUUUUUUUCAUAUCUCUGAUUGUCCAGUAAAGGUAUUCUCUAAGAAACUUAUACAUAUUCGUAUAUUGCUUCAUUCAUACCAACUAAGCCUUAUUCUUGAGGCAGUAGAAUAAACCAAACUUAAAUUCCUACUGAUAGUGUCUUCUUAUACAAUCCCCACAGAAAGUUAUGAGAUUGCACGUAGGCUUAAAAAGAUCCUAUUAGUGCCUUCAAGUUCCAAACGUUGAAAGAGUUUGUUCUUAUUUAUGAAAAUUGUGCAUUUAUCCAAAGUCAGAUAUGCUCCCAGCUCCUUUCUCAGAAUCCUAUGACCGCAUGACCUAGAGUUAGGAGCAUAAGCCUAGAAGUGUAGCAUCAGUGAAGUGAGGAUAGUGUUUAUCCAAAUUUAGUCGAUUGUGUAUCCAUGGGGCCAAAAAGGUGUUACGUAGAUUAUACAAAAGCAAUUUGAGAGAGAUUUACCGGUUUAAGAGGACUUAGAGUAUGUUAAUUCCUUAGUCAGGAUGGAGAUUAGGCAGCAACCAGAAAGAUAGAGAAGCUUCUUAAGGUUGAGUAUUUUCAUAAAAUUUUGUGUGGAUUAGUGUUUCAUGAUUUCUAUCUAGUAGUAGUAAGUGGGUAUUAGUGCAUGAGAAGUUGCACGGCUAUCCAUAUUAGGUGUUAGAAUCUAAGAUUGAAUUAUUGGUGGUCAACCUAAUAGAAAGAAGAGUUUUAAAUUCUAGAAGGAAAAAGUGUGAACUCAGGGUAUGGUGAUACUCCUAGAGACUCUAAGUUAGUAAGUGUUUAAGUUAUACUAUGAUUACUUUUGGGGCUAUAGAAAGUUAAGAGUUGUAUCUUAGAAGGAUGUUCUAGCAGUGGGUUUUACACUUUAAGAUAUAGUCUUUUAGGAGAGGUUAUUAUUUAUGUGUAUUGUUGUAUAUCACACUCUUGAGUAAAGUGAUUGCAGUUUAGUUUAAAGUUUAUUAUAGAGUUCUAUAGACUUAGAAUGAUGGCUUAAAUCUAAGGGCGAGAUAAUAGAACAAUGAAUCAAGUCAAGUUAUUAGAUUCUAGUAGUGAUGCUAUUGAGUUUAAGAACAACACUAGGGGAGGAAAAUGCCCAACCCAUUCUUAUCUUAGUAAAAAUUUUGUACUUCAGUCACUACGACACUCUACUCAUGCCUUACAAGUUAGGUCUAUGAUCAUAGCUCAUAUUUAAGUAUAUUAUAUAGAAUCAUGUCCACUCAUAGUUCCUAGUAUAAGGAGUGACAGUUCACUCAUAAGUAUGACUCUUAUUCCAUUAAUUUUUGAAUUCUAGUCUAAGUCAAACAAUUCAUGACUCAUGUGCUCAUGUUUUAUAGUAUGUUCAGUUCCAGGUACUCAUGAUAUAUCUUUAGUGACUAGUGUUAUCACAUUAUAUUGUGUAUGCUCUCAAAUCAUAUAUCUUGAAUGAGUUUAUUCUAAUUAUGUUUUACUCGCCACGCCUUAGUUAUCAAACAACUCAUGACUCAUGUACUCAUGUUUUCAUACUAUGUUCAAUUCCAAGUACUCAUGAUAUGUCCUUAGUGAAUAGUGAUAUCAUACUACAUCGUGUAUGCUCUUAGAUUAUAUCUAUUGAAUGGGUUUAUUCUAAUUAUAUUUUACUCCUCAGGCCUCAGUUAUGUUCGAAUCCAUGAAAAUCCCUAAGUCAAGAUUUCAUAGUGCCCUUCACAUACCAGACCCUCAUGUUCUAUUUCUUCAGUGACCUUUCUUAUGCUUUGAUAGUGAUGUUGUUGGUAGUUGAGUGAUAGGCUUGAAUGACUUGUUGAUAUCCCUUUAGAUGAUGGAUUUUUAUGGUUAGUAACUCUUUGACUAGUGCUUAAGGUUGAUUGUUUAAGGUGGCAAGAAGAAGUGUAUCUUUGAGGGUGAUAACUCCAAGUGAAUAUAGAAUGUAUUGUUUUUGUGAUUAAGACCAGUGUAGUCCUUUAAGUGGUGGAUCCUUGUAUCUCUUAUUUAAGAUUUUAUAUAAUGGGGGAAUUCAAUAAGGAUAGACAUAGCUUUUAGUAGUCAUAGGUAGUGUACAUAUGAAAGUUGGAAGUUUCAGCUAGUUAAGGGUGGUAGGUUCAUAAUAAAGUGCAUGGUCGAAGGAUAUUGCUAAGUUAUAGAAUUAUCAAUUACAUCGCUUAAGCUAUACUAGUACCAACCUUGCUUUCAAACUAAGAUAUUCAAGAUCCAUGAUAUAUAAAUUUGAACCAGUGGUGUCUCAUAUUCAGCUCUUAGUCGUUCCUAUUCUACAAGCUCAAACUAGAAGACUUGGAUGCUCAAACCAUGUUAUAAUCUAUAUUCAAAUAUCUCACUCAGAUCAUGCCUAAAAUUAUUACCUCCCUAUUAGUAUUGGAACCUCUAACAAUAAGCAUUGAAGGAAUACUUCAGUUGAGUUAUAAACUUUCAGUAUGAGUCAGUUCUUAUAGCCAACAAUUCAGUUUAGUAAUCAGACAGAUAAGCUCCAAUAGUUUUCCAUAUCUUCAUCUAGUCUUACUAUCCGAAGUUUCAUGAAUAUGCCUAUUCCAUGGGGUGAUUUAUUUACAUUCAUGCUAAUUGUUAAUUCAUUUGAACCCUUACUCCUAGUAUAAAUUAGUCCUAACCAAAAUCAGUAUCAUGUUAUUAUCGAACUUCAGAUUCAGCCGGGUAGUACUAGCGAGUUCCUACCAUUAAAAAUAUCCAAAGUUUUAGUUGAAAAUUUACUCAUCCUAUACACAUUCAACUCUUAGAAUUGUAUGUCAAAUUAUGGAUCUUUUCUUAUCCAUUCAGCCAAGUCAGUCUUUAUUCGAGGAUGAAUGAGCCCAAAAGGGAGAUAUUGUAACACCCUAAAAAUCCCAGACAAUAUUAGAACCAUGAUUCAAGAAUAUGAAAAAUAUAAAACCAUGUUUAAGUAUUUUUAUUAGUUAUUUAAAUACAUAUUAAGGUCACAAAUAGCUCCUACCUUAUAAACAAGUCAAAAUAUCCUAUAGCAAUUAAAUACUUGAGAAAAAUAUAACAAUAGUAAGCUUCAAAUAAGUAUAACUUUGGUAUUAGUAGUAAUUUUUUAGAUCAAGACCCACCAUAAGAUAAAUAAUUGAAUUAGCUUUCCAAAUCCACCAAAUUUUCCUUAAUCCGAUAUUGGUGUAACAAGUUAUGAUCAAAUUCUGAAACAUUGUCAAAGCUUCCAAUGACACCGAGUCUGACAACGACUUAUUGUCAGACAUAAAGAAUCAUCAAAGGAAGUUGUUGCCAUGGUAGUAGGGUCUGAAAUUGGGUUUUUAGACCACAACUCAAGCAACGACUUAUGGCCUGACCUUACGAGUCGUUGCUAGAUUCGUCGGGACUACUUCCAGGAGUUUUCCAGAUGGUUUUAAGGAACUUUCAGUCUUGUUCCACUCUUUUAACCCCAAAACUACGUUGUUUAAGAUAUUAUAAAGCUAAAUAUAAAGCCUAAACAACUUCAAAUCUCUCAUUCUCAACACAACACCAAUUACUCAAGAAACAUGCGAUUUUUCACUCCUCCAAAGCAAGAAAUUAGGGUUCUUCAUAUCCAAGUUCAAAUUCUCAAAACUUCAAUAAAAAAAUCAAAAGUAAUCAGGUAUGAGGGUAUUUAAUAAGGAUUUAUUUUCAUCCUCAUGCCCAAAUUAUUUUUUUUGUUCAUGAAUAUUAUGAUCUUCAUAAACUAAGGUUUUACCCAAUUGUUACUCUAAGCUUAUAUUCAAUUACCCAUGUUAUACUUGUCACUCAAAAGCAUGUUUUAAUGAUUAUUCAUGGUUUCUUAGGCCCAUAUUAUAUCAUUCAUGCUAUUCUCAAAUCCAUGCAUGUUUUACAUGAUAUUAGUUAAGAUUUCAAGCAUAUGAUCAGGCUAUAUGAGAUUUAUUAGUUUCAAGACUAUUAAGCACUAUUUAUCAUCAUUUUAUGAAUUUAAAUCCAUAUUAGUUGACAUACCAUGUUUUUCCAUAAAACAUAGUAUUUUCACAGACUUAAAAUUAUGAACCCUUGACAUGUUGGUAAAUUCAUGAUUUUGGACUCAUGCUAUGAAAUUUCCCUUUUUCCCUACUAUAAUCAACUUUAAUAAAAUCAUGUUUAGUUGUAUUAGUCAGAGUUUGUGGGUUAUAUCGAUACCUAUGUAUUCAUCCAUAUACCAGUUUACAUGUUAUUGAGCACUUUAGAUUAACCAUUGUUGAUAUUCUAGAAUAUAAUCAUAAUGGACAUUACAGUUUUUAGUGCCAUUCAGUUGGGAGUAGUACUUAGCACCGCAUGAAUGCAGGGAUGAAGGCUUACCCAACAAUUAAGGAUUUCAUACCUUUAGUAGAAGUCCCUAGGUUUCAAAAAUAUGAUUUCAUUAUAGGUUAUAAGGGGUCACCCAUUGGUUGAUGCAUGACACCAUAGUCCUUCAAGACAGUAGUUUAGUGGAUCAAAGCCAUCCAGUGUUGUUUCCUUUGACAAGGUACUAGCACCCUUCCAACUAGAGUUAUAAGUUGGAACCAGAUUUUCUUAAAUUAGGUAUGUCAGUUAUUGUUAGCUUCCAUAUUCCUCAAUUUAUGUUUCAUCUUCAGGUUAUACAUGACCCUGUAUUCAGUUAUUCAGUUUUAUUCAGUACAUGUUUAUAUGUAAUACCCUACAUAUGCCUAUAUAAGUUUCCAACUAUCCAUCAUAUGUUUAAAGGUUCUCAAGUGAUUAUAUCAAUCCAUAAUUAGGUCUAAUGACCAUUCACCUUGUGUGUAAAGUGUUUUUGAUAAGAUUUAUGAUUAUAUGAAGCACUUAGAGCAAAGUCGAGUUGAGAACACUUGUAUCGAUAUAGUUUUAGUAUUCGAUCCUACAAGGGUCAACUUUAAAUGAGUGUAACUCCUUGAAUAUAAUUAUUCAAGUGUCCUACUAUAUAUCAAAUGAAAGAUAUUCGACUUUUAUUUGCAACGCAUUUUAUUUCAUCUUAAUCCAAUAUUGGAGUAUAAAGUUAUGCUCAUUUUACCUGAGAGUAUCUAUAUGAGAGAAGGUGACGACUUGAGUUGACAAACUAUCAACUAAGUGACGAGCUAUCAACUUAGUCAUCAUCCUUCUCCAUAAAAUACCCUAAAUCAUUUAGAGAAGGUAAGUUCUAUGUUGAUAAGUUAUCAACUAGUUGAUAAACUAUCAUCUAAGUCAUCAACCUUAACCAAAAAGUGUCCAAGUCCAGCUAGAGGGUGACGACUAGGUUUAUAAGUUAUCAACUAAUUGAUAAGCUACCAUCAACCUUAACCAAAAAAAUUUGAAGUACAACUAGAGGGUGAUGAAUAGGUUGAUAAGUGAUCAACUAGUAGACAAGUCAUCAACCUUGUUGUCAACUGAAAAUUUUUAUAAUUUUCUUAGGAUUUCCUUAGGGAUAAUUUGGUCUUUUCCUCACAUCAUACUCCUCUUCCAUGAAUUAAAACCUCUAGUACAUGCUAUUUUGCACAUUAAAAUUCAAUUUUAAAAGUUUAUUCUUCUCUCCACACUCAAGAGAAAAGAGAUUAAUUUUUUUUCCAUAGUUUAACUCCCAAGGCUCCCAAUCCAAGUUCCCUUCUAGAAGAUAAGAAAUUCAGGUAUGUGGGUAUUCAAUGAGGAUCUCCUUUCAUCCUUAUGCCCAAAAUUACAAUUUUACUCAUGAAUUUUAUGGAUUUCAUAAACUAAGGUUUUAUCCAAUUGAUACUCCAAUCUUGAAUUAAAUAUCCCAUGAUAUAAAAUUCACUUAUAAGCAUGUUUUAGUAAUUUUUUGUGAUUUAUUAGGCCCAUAUCAUAUCAUUCACACUAUUCUCAAAUCCAAGCAUGUUUUACAUAGUAUUAGUUAAGAUUUCAAGCAUAUAAUCAAGUUAUAUGAGUUUUUCCAAAGUUUCUCCAAAUCCUCGAGUUUAAUCCUAUUUUGUUUUAGGGUUCCAUGAAAAGCAUAAAUUCCAUGAUUUCUCCAUGUAAUUCUUGAUUCCAACCAUGAAAUAGUAUUUUCUCAUAAGCUCAAGUAUUCUUUCGUACUCUAACCAUGGCAAGUUGUUAUAUUGAUGAAAUUGUUGGAUCCUUGAGUUUAAUUCAUGAAAUUUCUUAUCAUGUUAUUACUUUGAAAUUAUGGAUUUUCUUGGAAUUACGAUUUAUCCUUGAAAUUGAAUCAUGUGUAAAUGUUGUUGUCAUAAGCUUAACAUCUUCCCAAACUCGGAAUCAUGAAUUCUCUCAGUUUAGUAAUAUAUUAUGUUUGGGGUCUUUAAUUAUGAAAUUUUCUUUUAUGAUCACUUUUCAAUAGCAUUAUGUUUAGUUUAUUAGUCAAAUCUGGCGGGUUACGAACACCCGAAACCUAGGAAUUAAGACAUACAUCAAUUUAUAUGUUCAUGAUUACUUUAGAUUAUGCAUGCACUGUUAUUUUCAAAAUGCCAUGACUUGAGAAUAUCAUGCAUCAGUGCAUGUACUGGUUUAUGCUUUAGUGUCUUUCAGUUGGGAGUAAUACUUAGCUCCGAAUGAAUGCGAGGAUGACGGUUCCUCCAUUAGUUAGGCAUGAGUCAUUAGUAGUAGUCCCUAUGUUUUGUACCUAUGGAUCCACCUUAGAUUUUGAGAGGUCCCCCAUCAGUAAAGGCAUGACACCCUUAUCUUUUGGUACAUCAGAUUAGUAGAUCCAUGCCAGCCAGCGUUGGUACCUUUGGAAAGGUAUCAACACCCUUCUAACUGGAAUUAUAGGUUGCACCCCCAAUUAGCUAAGAUUGGGACAUGUAGGUUAUAGUUAGUUCCAACAAUUUCUAAUUCAGUAUUCAAAUUUUGUUCUGUUCAGGUUUGUAUCACCAAGUGUUCAGUUUAUACGUUAUGCAAUAUUCAGCUUAUUUUAGUAUAUAUUUAUGCUUGGUCUUGCAUUUGAUAUUUAUGUCCAUGCAUUCAUACUCCGUAUAUUUGUAUAUUCAGAUCCUCAGUUUAUAUUCUAUUUAUAUUUCAAUUAAAAUAUGCAUGAUUUUGUGUCAGUUCUUAAUCCACAAUUUCAAACCCAGCAUUCAUAGAUGAUCCUCAGUGCAGUUAUACAACAUAUUCACAUUUAACUUGAGAUUUAUAUAUAGAAUUCAUGUUUCCACUGCUUCCCAGUUUAUAGAAAUAUUUAGUUCAUGAUUUGUAAAUUUUACUAUGUCUUACAGCUUUUAUGUACAAUCAUGAUUUAAAUGCAUAAUUCAUCAAAUAGCUCAUGUCCUUAGUUGUAAAGCAUAUAAUAAGUAUUUUCACAAAUAUUUUCAUGAUUUAGUGCAUGUCUCGCAUAAAAAGUAUAUUCCAACAUACUGACCACAUAUAUGCAUUUGUGGCUACAUUGCUUCCUGAUGUAGGUACUAUAUGUAUCCCAUACCCCAGGGUCAGACAGUUCAUAGAAUUUAACCAGCAGGUGAUGAGUUCUUUUAUUUUAAGGACUCAAGUCAGUUGUAGUUCUUGAAUUGUAUUUUUCCUGUUCAUAUGUAUUGAUUUGGAAUAAUUGGGAUUCAUGUCCCGACUACCUAUAAUCAGUAUAGUAGAGGCUUCAUAGAUAGUCAGUUAGAGUCACUGUAUGUAGUCUCAAUUCCUCAUUCUUUAAGAUUUUAGUGUAGUAAACUUUGAACAAAAAUGCUUUAAAAUAUAUUAUGUCAUGAUUAUGUUUUUGCUUAGCAAUUUUAGCUUUUAUACAUAUUUUAAAUCAGUUGCUCAAGCAGCAUGCCACUGCAUUUGUUAACUUGGAUCACUGGUGGUUCUAAGCACCAUGUGAUGUUUAGAGGGUGGUCUCAGGACAUUACAAAUUUGGUAUUAAAGCAUACAUUUUAUAUGUCCUAGGGUGUCUGUGAAGCCGUUUCUAGUAGAGUCUUAUGAAAUGGUAUAGAGAUGUCUGUACUUUUCUUUGAGAAGCUAUUCGACAUUUAAGAAAUGUUUUCUUUCUUUCAUAUAUCAAAUCAUGUAAUAGAGAUGUUCUCUAAGAAACUUAUACAAAUUUUUACAUUGCACCAUUUAUGCCAACUCUGCCUUAUUUUUGAGAUAACAAAAAUAGUCAAGCUUAAAUUUCUAUUGAUAGAGUUUUCUUAGAUGUCCUUACUGAUGGUUAUGAGAUUGCACACAGGCUCAAAAUGAUCCCAUUAUUUACUUUAUGUUCCAAAGUUUAAAAUAUUUUAUUCAUGUUCAUGAAAAUUCAUCAAAUAGCUCAUGUCCUUAGUUGUAAAGCAUAUAAUAAGUAUUUUCACAAAUAUUUUCAUGAUUUAGUGCAUGUCUCGCAUAAAAAGUAUAUUCCAACAUACUGACCACAUAUAUGCAUUUGUGGCUACAUUGCUUCCUGAUGUAGGUACUAUAUGUAUCCCAUACCCCAGGGUCAGACAGUUCAUAGAAUUUAACCAGCAGGUGAUGAGUUCUUUUAUUUUAAGGACUCAAGUCAGUUGUAGUUCUUGAAUUGUAUUUUUCCUGUUCAUAUGUAUUGAUUUGGAAUAAUUGGGAUUCAUGUCCCGACUACCUAUAAUCAGUAUAGUAGAGGCUUCAUAGAUAGUCAGUUAGAGUCACUGUAUGUAGUCUCAAUUCCUCAUUCUUUAAGAUUUUAGUGUAGUAAACUUUGAACAAAAAUGCUUUAAAAUAUAUUAUGUCAUGAUUAUGUUUUUGCUUAGCAAUUUUAGCUUUUAUACAUAUUUUAAAUCAGUUGCUCAAGCAGCAUGCCACUGCAUUUGUUAACUUGGAUCACUGGUGGUUCUAAGCACCAUGUGAUGUUUAGAGGGUGGUCUCAGGACAUUACAAAUUUGGUAUUAAAGCAUACAUUUUAUAUGUCCUAGGGUGUCUGUGAAGCCGUUUCUAGUAGAGUCUUAUGAAAUGGUAUAGAGAUGUCUGUACUUUUCUUUGAGAAGCUAUUCGACAUUUAAGAAAUGUUUUCUUUCUUUCAUAUAUCAAAUCAUGUAAUAGAGAUGUUCUCUAAGAAACUUAUACAAAUUUUUACAUUGCACCAUUUAUGCCAACUCUGCCUUAUUUUUGAGAUAACAAAAAUAGUCAAGCUUAAAUUUCUAUUGAUAGAGUUUUCUUAGAUGUCCUUACUGAUGGUUAUGAGAUUGCACACAGGCUCAAAAUGAUCCCAUUAUUUACUUUAUGUUCCAAAGUUUAAAAUAUUUUAUUCAUGUUCAUGAAAAUCGUGCACUAAGCCAUAGUCAGAUGUGCCCUUAGAUCCCUUCUAAGAAUCCUAUGACAACAUAUGACCUAGAGAUAAAAACAUGAACCUAGAAGUUUAACAACAGUAAAAUAAGGAUAGGUUUUAUCUGGAUUUAGUAGAUUAUGUAUCCAUGGGGCUAGAAAGGCGUUAGGUAGAUUGUAUAAUAAGACUUUGAGAGAGAUUUACUAGUUAAAAGGACUUAGAGUAUGUUAAUGCUUUAGUCAGGAUAGGGAUGAGGCAGGAGCCAGAAAAAAAAUGGAAAAUCUUAUUAAGGUUGAAUUUGUUCAUAAAAUUUUUUCUGGGUUAGUGUUUCAUGAUUCCUGUCCAGUAGUAGUAAGUUAGAAUAGUACAUUAAAACUUUGGGGAUAUCCAUGUUAAGUGAUAUAAACUAAGUCUGAAUUGUGGAUAAUUAAGCUAAUAGAAAGAAAAUUUUAGACGGUAUGUGAUACUCUUAAAGAUUCUAAGUAGUAAAUGUUUAAGUUAUUAUAUGAUGGCUAUUGGGCUAUUGAAAGCUACGAGUUGUAUCUCAGAAGGAAGUACUAUCUACACCUUUAAGUAUAGUUUUUAAAGAGGAGUUAAGUAUUUAUAUGUACCAUUAUAUCCCAAAAUUUAGAGUAGAGUUGUUGAAGUUUAGUUUAGACUUUAUUAAAGGGUUCCACAAACUUAUAUCAAUGGAUUAAAUCUAAGGGGGAGAUUAUAGAACAAAGAACCAAGUCAGGCUCUCAGAUUCUAGUAUUGUUUCUAGUGCGAUACAAGCGUAAAGAGCACAAAGUUUACAAGGUCUUGUAGAAGGUUCAAGCUUCAGAUUGUCAAAGGAUCAAGUCUCGGAUUUGCAAGUGCUUGAAUACUUUUUGGAACCAUUAAAAAGACUUGUCCAAAUUGAAGAGAGAAGGAGAGAUUUCUAUAUCACAUAGGAGCCUCAACUAAGGGCAUUGUGUUCUUUUAAGACCUCCCUUUUACACUCCAAAGGAGAACCCUUCAUUAAGGGCAUUUUAGUCAUUGUUAUGUAAUAGUAUAAAUAGACCAUUUAGCAUCCAUUUUCAUUAGUUUUUAGAUAAUAAAUUGAGUGAUUUUUAGAUUGUAUUCUUAGUGUUAGUUUGUAGUCUUUCUCUUCUCCUUAAGAGAGGGAAUACGAAAUUUGAAUCCUAAUAUAUUUGGAAUUGGCUUCUCACUUGUAUUGGAUUAUUUGGCAAGAAAGGUGUACAUGAGGAAGUGUGAGUCCUUUGGGUCACCUAAGAGGAAGGUUUGAGCCUAUAUUGGUGAUGUUUGUUUGAAGGUUUGAUACACUUUCUAGUUCUAUUCAUUGGUGGAAGUAAGGGUCUUUCUAUCUAUCUUUAAUUUCAUGUAAUUCUUCUUCUUCAUCUCCAUUGUGUUGUAUUCUCUUUGUGUGCUUGCUAGUUUUUGUUAUGUUAGUACCCAUUUCGUGUAUAGACUUUAUUUGGGCUAUCAUUUGGUAUCAAAGCCUUGUUUAGGUUGUUCCAACAUCCCUAAAUCUUGGUUUUAGUGUUCUUAUUAAGAAAAUCUCAACAAAAAAUAGUCAAAAAUCCGAAAAUAUGAAAAAAAAAAAUGUGUUGUCUUGUGUGUAUUUUUGUAUAUUCAAAAUUUUCAAGUUAGAUCUACAAGUUUUUAUUGUUUUUUAAAGGUUUCUAGUUCUAGAUCCUUUCUCUCUUGCACAUAGGGUGUCGAGAUCUAAGUUUGGAGCAAGAUUUGGUUGAAUUUGAGCUAGAUCCACCAUUGUUGGGCCUUGUUUGAAGCUUUUUUGAGGAGGAUCUCAUGGUGGGCAUAUUUUUUGUGACGUGUUGUGCCUGAUUUGUGGAUAUUUAAGCUUUCCUUGACCCAAGGAACCUAGAUCUAAAAGAAAAAUUAAAGUUAGGGUUCAUUUGCCUUUUAGUCAAACUUUGGUCAACUCUUGAAUAUUCAUAUUGUUCUUCACCAUAUUCAUGUCUUGUUGAAGAAGAAUAUUAANNNNNNNNNNNNNNNNNNNNNNNNNNNNNNNNNNNNNNNNNNNNNNNNNNNNNNNNNNNNNNNNNNNNNNNNNNNNNNNNNNNNNNNNNNNNNNNNNNNNNNNNNNNNNNNNNNNNNNNNNNNNNNNNNNNNNNNNNNNNNNNNNNNNNNNNNNNNNNNNNNNNNNNNNNNNNNNNNNNNNNNNNNNNNNNNNNNNNNNNNNNNNNNNNNNNNNNNNNNNNNNNNNNNNNNNNNNNNNNNNNNNNNNNNNNNNNNNNNNNNNNNNNNNNNNNNNNNNNNNNNNNNNNNNNNNNNNNNNNNNNNNNNNNNNNNNNNNNNNNNNNNNNNNNNNNNNNNNNNNNNNNNNNNNNNNNNNNNNNNNNNNNNNNNNNNNNNNNNNNNNNNNNNNNNNNNNNNNNNNNNNNNNNNNNNNNNNNNNNNNNNNNNNNNNNNNNNNNNNNNNNNNNNNNNNNNNNNNNNNNNNNNNNNNNNNNNNNNNNNNNNNNNNNNNNNNNNNNNNNNNNNNNNNNNNNNNNNNNNNNNNNNNNNNNNNNNNNNNNNNNNNNNNNNNNNNNNNNNNNNNNNNNNNNNNNNNNNNNNNNNNNNNNNNNNNNNNNNNNNNNNNNNNNNNNNNNNNNNNNNNNNNNNNNNNNNNNNNNNNNNNNNNNNNNNNNNNNNNNNNNNNNNNNNNNNNNNNNNNNNNNNNNNNNNNNNNNNNNNNNNNNNNNNNNNNUUUCCAACCUUUGGGAAAUGAUGCUAUUGGAGCCUUGAUGGCUCGGCUUGAGGCCUUGGGCCAAAAAAUAGAUGAUAAUCAUGAUGCUAUAAUGGGUGAUAUGGAUUCUAUGAGGGGUUAAAUGGCAUCCUUGACGGGUGGUGUGAUUAGAAUGAAAGUGAGGGUUGAUAGAUUAUAUCCACCAAAGCCUCCACAAAAUUCAAACCACCAAGUCCCAAAUCCACUUUACCAAGGACACCACACUCCACAAAAUCCUAUGACACAAAUCCAAAUACAUCACCAAUGUAUUCCAAUUCCUCCUCUCCAAGAUCCACUAAAUCAAAAUCACCUCAUACAACUAAAAGAAGAGAUGGUGAUAGAAUCCGAGGGUGAUAAGGUUGGUUUUCAAUAUGGAGAAAAGCUUGAUGUUGAGGUACAAGAAAAAUAUGAAGAAAAGAAGUAAAGGGAAAGCGAAACCGCGGGUAGUAAAGUAGAAAAGAAAAAAAAUUGCUUGAUUGUGGAUCUUGUCCACAAAGAAACUUUGUCACUUCCUAACCCAAAGCUAGUAUUUGCCUAGCUAUGAUUCUUCUUAUGUGCAGGUACUAGAUGAAAUGAUAAUCAAUAAGGAUCUAAAAGGAGUUCCAUAUAAAAUCAUGAGAAAUGAACUAGAGACUCCUUUGACUAAG